rnacentral:lncRNA from 1 species
CAAAGUCCAUGUAAACCAUUCUUGGCAAAGCCAAUCCUUGAAUAUCCUCUUGUAGCUGUUGAGCAGGUCCUGCUGGCGGCACACUAAAAAUUUGCAUGCCAACAUUCUGGUUUGAAGAAAGACAAAGCAUCAGCUAGCCGAUUCGCUUCCCUAUGCACAUUCUGAAUUGAAGUCAGCAAAGCCAAACCAUUCUUCCAAGUUGUAAAAACUCCUGAUUCAAACACAAAAACAUCCCACUAAACCAUUAAAAGAUUCUAUUCCAACGUCAAAUAGAUUUCGACUUACUUGACCGCAAUAACAAGUAGCAAUUAGUCAAGCAGUGGUUUCUUGGCCAGCUUCAGUCAGCCUUCUCUUUUUCUUAGAGAAGCACAAGCAAUUACUGAGAUUUAUAAAUAUAGACACGAACCAUAAAUGAAAAUUAGGGGUUGGAGUAUUAACAGUUCAUUCACUAUUUGCACAAUGUCCUUGAGAAGGAUUUGCCAAGUUCAAAAUGUCGUAGAUCUUAACAUAAGUCGUUGCUUGUUUCUUCUUGCCUUCUUGUGGUCACAAAAGACAUUUUCCUGGAUAUGCAAAGUAAGAAGAAAAUCGGAGUUUGCUGCUUUGUAGCCAAGGAGGAGUGUUUAAAAGGUGGCAACGACAGCAGCAAAGUUUAAGAAUCCAUGCAAAAACCCACGUUGCAUGCAAGAAUCCAUGCAAAACCUACGUUGCAUGCACGAAACCAGAAGCUCGGCUGAAGCAUGUUAAAAUCCAUGGUGCAAUUCGACAAGCCUUGUUUAUUUAGUUGACUUUUGUUAGUCUAUGGUGUAAUCAUUAUUUGCUUUGAUCAGCUAAGGUUAAAAUGUGUGCUUAGCUGAUUUAGUAGUCAAAUUAGGUUGUCAUUUUGUUGAUGUAAACCUUUGGUUACUUGCACAAGCAAGCUUUGUUUUCUUUCUAUGUAGUUUUUGUUCUAUUUAUGUAUGUAACCAUGCACUUAUUCGGGUAAUGAGAAAAACACUUUGCUCAUUCAACUUUCUGCUUGUUCUUGCUACUGUUUUAAUCUUUCAAACAUCUAAAACAUUCAUCUAAGUUGUUUUUAAACUUUGUUUGCUAAGUUAAAAACCAACACACCCAAAUCAUAGUAUAUCUCGUUGCCUACAAAACAUAAAGGUAACCAAUACAAGUAAAAAGGCUAAGGUUUUAUAAAACCAUUAAGUUUGUUAUACUGACGGUUUAAGUAUGUCCAGAACAAAUUGUCCAAAUCACAAGAAAGACUUGUAUAAUUUGGCACGGGAAAGUCCAAAUAAAGAAAAUGAUGCCAAAACUUAACAUAUCAAAUUUAUAUCCUUUAUUUGGUGAGUCUGCCUCAUGAUAACCCUGUAAAAUGUAAACAGCAAUUGCAUAGAAUUAAAAAUUGACAACUUUCCUACUCAGGAUUUUUUGUGUCACUGUUCGUCUGAUAUUUCUUGUUUUGAUUUGGUCUCUUAUGAACAAGUGGGAAUCAAUCAAACAGUGUUGAAAUGACAGUAUGAAGUUUAAAUGCUUAUACUAUCUAGUAGUAGCUCUCUUAUAGUUAUACUGAAUUUUUUAAACUGGAACAUAAAACUUGAAUGCACAGUAUGAUCUACAAUGCAUGAUUGCAUAUUCAAGUCGAAUAAAGGUCAUAAAUUUGCUCUGUAAAACUCAAAAUUCAGUCCUUACCAUCUCUUGUUUUGUUUGUUGCGGUUUCAAUAUUAGUUUCACUAGUAUCUCUCCCACACAUGCCAAGGUUAAAUUUACCUCCUUUGCUGGUUCCUCUUGAUCGAUCACCCACAUUUGAAAUAUAUAGAUGCAUAACAAAGUAAAAGAAAGAACAGAACACGAGAUGAAAUAAAAAUUAGUAUAUAUCCAUCACUCGAAGAUUGUUUCUCGAUGAACUUACCCCGUUGUCCAUAUAAACUCAAUAACACCAAGACACAUUACCAACAAAGUAAAGUUAUGCCUCAACUACUCUUUAUUAACCUGAUGACAAGGUUGUUAUACUAAGUUACAAACUUAUUGUUCAAUCAUUUAACAUGGUAUCACAAAAGGGUCUACCGUUCCUUUUGCCAUAUAAUCCCUAGUUCUUACCUCAGGGUUGUUGUGAAUCUCGGCUCCUUUCCCAGUGUCUGGGGGCAGAGGAAGGUAGAGAAUUAACUGUUCAUCCUCUUUUUGCACAAGAUCUCCUUGAAUACUAAGAGGAUUUGUUAGCUUUUGGUUGGUAAUAAGCCGUAGCAUUUCAAGACAAGAAUUCAAAACGUUGUUUAGCAUUUUUGUGACUCUGCCGAAAACCUUUUCCUCUUUUACUAAUUGUUGCAUUUGGUCCACAAUGGCCUCUUUCUGCGUUGCCGGAAUAGGAAAUGAACAAUGAUAUAUCAAAGUUAAUUCUAUUGAUCUAAAAUGUCUAAAUCCACCAUAGCUAAGUCCAAACCCAAGCAAAGGUUGCGCCCAAGCAAAUGAUGUGAACAUGUUGCCAGACAAAUCACAAUAGGUGAGCACUUUUGAGCCUCUAAAUUGGUUAGAUCAGAGCUCGAAAAGGUAUCUCAAAACCCACAUGACAAGCUCUCUUUGUCCAAAAAUAGCUCGAAAGAUUGCCAAUCAAAGUUCGUCUGGAAAGGUAUAAAUAACCCAACCUAAGUACACCCCCUUAACCCAAUGUUACUAUGAUGAGUUUUCUCCAAACCCUUUCUCAUCCAUAUAUCGAUAUAAGCAUUCGGGAACUGUAUUUUUAGGCAUUUCUCAAUUAGACUCCAAAAAAUCAAUAAAUGCCAUUAAUGAACACGUACACUUAAAAAAUUAAUAUCGAACCGAAUUUGUUUAGUUAAUUUGAUCAGUUAAUCAAAAUUUAUAUGUUUUUGUCUUUUAAUCAAAACAAGUAUAAAACAUAUAAAAAAAUAUAUUGAUAAUGUCCAUUGGUCUUGAAAGUUAAUUGACUUAAUCGGAAUUUUAAGUCUUGAAACACUACAUAAUUAUUAAAUUCGGUUAAUUAGCUGAUUUCGAAUCAAUUUAAUCGAAACCAAAAUUUCAAAAAAACAUUAACCGACUUUCGACCAAAUUAAAUUUGACCAUCAAUUGAUUAACCAAAUUAAUUCGAUUUUAAUCAAAGUUUCAACCCUAAUAAUCUCCGCCUCACUUCAAUGAAAUCCACCCAAGAGGCCUAUCCUGCUAAAACUCAUCUUUCUAAUGAGAGUAACUUCGUUAUAUAUCAUCUGUCACUUACGAUUAUACAUUAAAAAUUGGUUGGACUUUCAAUAAUAACUUAUUUAACGAGUUUAUAAUGGAUUUUUCACUGGAAAAUGUACUGCAAUAGUUGCUGGUGUACAUUUGUUUUUUUUUAUUUUGGUACUACUUUCUUUUGGAGCCAUAACUACACGAGUAACAACUUAAUAUCACAUACAUUAAAAAAACCAUUACUUAUGAAAAUUAUGCCAAUUCAACAAACGUCAAUUACGGUCUUUCGCGUAGAAGCUCGGGUUAUUCUUGAAGGUUUACGUAUUGCAUGGGAAAAAGGUUACAACAGUUGGAGAUUGAAUGCGACAAUACACUACUUGUAGAGUCCGUUCUUAUGGGUAGUGCUGCCAGUAGUAAUCUAGUUGAAUUACGUUUAAUCAAUGUUUACCUUAAGAGGAAUUGGAAUACAAAAAUCUGUCACAUUCCUAGAUCUCAGAAUAUGCCUACUGAUCGAAUAGCGAAAUGUACUUAUAAGAAUCUUUGUUUAAUUGAUUACCAUUGAAUACUUUAUCAGUUUUAAACAAAUUAUUCUUCGCAUCAACAAACCUUUUUCAAUAUAAAGUAAUUUUAAAAAUAAUGAUUAUAGAAUAAAGAUUUAUAUUUUUAUAAAAUUUUUGAAAUAAUUAUAUAUAUUUUUAAUUUUCAAAACAAAAAUUGUUUAAAAGAACAUUAUAUUUCUUUUCUUUUCUUUUUUAAACUACGUUGCUAAAAGAUUGUCCGACUCUCGUGAUUGAUUGAUAUAUAUAUAUAUAUACUUGUCGCAAAUUUAAGUAUUAAUUUUGCAUCGUAUAGGUAAAUAAAUAAAAUCUGUUUUUUUUUUAUCAAAUUAUUGUUUUGGUUAUUAUAUUCAAAUUUGAAGUUUAAUUUUUUUAAUUUGACAUAAAUUAACAUAUUUUUAUGUUGAAAUGAAAACUCUUUAAAGUAGUAUCUUCGACUCAUUAUGCUGGUAUGGUUUUGUUUUAUUUUAAAUGAGAAAUUAAUAUAAAAUAGACUUGUUUAUUGGCUGGACACUCGAUCCACCCAAAAAGUGGGAGGAUUUGGAAAAAAAUAUAAGCCUGAAAAAUGAGCUGAGGCAAAAAAAAAAAAAGUCCAUUUUAAUAACAGGUUGGGCAUUGGGUAAAGUUUUUUUGGACUGAACCCAACUUGACUCAAAUUAGCCAAAAGACAAAGAAAAAAAUGCUAUUUUCUUGUUGUUUUAUCACUAUUUUGCUAUCAUUUCACUAUUAUGUUAUUACUAUUUUUUUUGUUAUUUUUUAGAUAUUGUAUAACUCUUGUUUUAUAUUUAAAUUUGUUAUUACUUUAGAGACAUUUGCUUGUUAAGUUGCACUUAUCUUAACGCUAUUUAAGUAUAAAUAUUUUUUAAAAAAAUUUAUUUUCAAUUUUUUAGGAAACAUUUAUUUUAAUAUUUUUUAGUGUAUCUAGUGUAUUAUAUUUUUAAAGUUUUAUAUAAGAAAAAUUUUAAAAAUAAAAAGGGCAGAUCUGGACCGGACCUAAAUUGUAACAUUUUUAUCUAGGCCGAACUUAGGUAAAAAUUUAAACCCAUUUUUCGGGUCAGGCCAAACUCAAACAUAUCAAUCAAACCUAAAAUUUUGUUAGUGAAUACCCAACCAAUCAACAAAUCUAGUGUAAUCCCAUAGUGUUGACUACUUUUAUUGCCCUGAAAUUGGUUAGCCCAUGAAUUUAUUAUGUUGAAGCCCCUCUUUAAUUGAAAAUUUGAGGUUGAUAAAUCAUUAUUUAAUGUCUGAAUUUGAUAAUAAUUUUUUGUGUGGUACAACUUUGACCUUUACCUUCCUUAUUACUACCUCUGUUUACCACCAAUUUUUGGUCGCAACAUUAAGAAAAAACUCUAUUCAAAUAAUGAGCACCAAAUGGACCGUUUUCUAGUACCACUAUUUUUCACACCAAAUACGUUGGAAUUAUUCUCCUUCUCUUGUGUCCCUCUCAAUUCUCAUUUUCAAAUUUACUUUAGUGUACAAUAUACGUGAAUAUUUAAUAAUAAUAAUAUAGAUUAUAUGGAUCAAUUUUUAAUAAUAAUAAUGGAUGAAUUUUUUUAAUAAAAGAAUUAAUUUAUUCUUUGAUUUUAUCUACAAUGACUAAUUUAUUUAUUUUUUAAGUAAAAAGAAAAAUAUAGUCUAACUUAUAAUAUAAAAACCUUCAUGAUACUUGUUGAUAUUAGGUUGAAGAUGAUCUUUACGUGUUGUUUAUAUUACGUGUUGUGUUGACUAUAACGAAGAAGUUAAUUAAUACAUAUUGUAUUUGUCAAGCAAAAUUAAUAAUAUAAAAUAAGUAUCCCAAGUUGGUAGAUUUGAGAAAAAGGAACAUGGUCGACAUGAAUUUCUUCGGUGGAAGGAUUGACCCACCAUAGAUUGGGAACUGCCACUUGACUGCUACUAAUAUCUGCUUUUUCAUCCAUAUAUGUGUAUAUAUAUAUAUAUGCUGGAACCUUGUUAUUACAUAAAAAUACAGGACGACUUCAUUUUCUUCUUCAAUGGCAGUGUCAGAAAUCUCGCGAUGUAGUUAUCAUGUAUUCUUGAGUUUUAGAGGUGAAGAUACGCGCAGAAGUUUCACGGAUCAUCUUCACACAGCUUUGAUGCACUUAGGAAUUCAAACAUUUAGAGAUGAUGAGGAAAUCGAGAGAGGGAAUAACAUAAAAGAUGAAAUUGAAAAAGCAAUACUACACCACUCCAAAAUUUCUAUCGUUGUUUUCUCAAAGAAUUAUGCUGUAUCCACAUGGUGUCUUAACGAACUUGUAAUGAUAUUGGAGCACAAGAAAUCCUCUAAACACAUUGUGUUGCCAGUUUUCUAUGAUGUGGAUCCGAGUCAAGUCAAGAACCAGACGGGAAGUUAUGCAGAAGCAUUUACCCAACAUGAACAAAACUUCAAGUCCAUGGUACAAAGAUGGAGGAAUGCUUUAAAAGAAGUUGCAGAUAUAGGAGGCAUGGUUCUACAAGACAGGUAUGUUAUACACAUAAUCAAGUUCCAUAUGGUUACUUCAAUCCUUUUCAUUAAGACUUGAUAGAUAGAGUAGAAAGAAAAUUAAUAGAAAAUAUUGUUAGGUAACGUUUGGAGAUUAAAAUGGCUACUUCAAUCCAUUUUAAAGGGUUAAAUAUAACUCAGAUUUUAAAUUAUUUCUCAAACACUAACAUGUUUUAAUUGAGUCAUUAAAAUAUUAGUAUUGUAUCAAUAAGGUCUUUUUAUCAAACAAGUAAUCAGUUUAAGCAUUAAAUGUAAAUAACAUGAAUUUAUUAAACUUUCACAAAGAGAAAGUUGAAAUUUGAGUAUAGGUUGUUUCUUAAAUGAAUUUCAUUAAUUUUUAUGUUGCUUUAUUUGAUUUGAUUUGAUUUUGAAUGUAAUAAUUCUAUCAUAUAUGUUGAAAUGUUACAUUAGUUGCUUAUUUUUAUUAGAACAUAUAAUCUCAUAAAGACAAUUAAAAUAUAUGCAAGAAAAGAGAAAAUACAUUAAUAACUUUUACUUAAUUUUCAAGAUUUUAGCAUUGAGUUGUAUUUUUUAAAUUUGCAGGCAUGAAUCACAAUUUAUUCAAGAUAUUGUUAAAGAAGUUCAAAAUAAACUUCAUCCUAUUUCUUUGUAUGUCCCUCCUUAUUUAGUUGGAAUAGAUUCUAUCGUGACACAAAUUAAUCAAUGGUUAGAACAAGAUGGAGCAAAUAAAGUUGGCAUUGCAACUAUUUGUGGCAUUGGAGGCAUUGGGAAGACAACCAUUGCCAAAGUUGUUUACAAUCAAAACAUCUCGAGGUUUGAAAGUUUUAGCUUCCUUGCUCAAGUUAGAGAAACAAGUCAAGAUUGUAAUGGCUUAGUUCGUUUGCAAAGACAACUUAUUUCAGAUCUCCUUAAAGGAAAAUCGCAUAAAAUAUACAAUAUAGAUAAUGGAAUUAACAAGAUCAAAGAAAUUGUAUGUUGUAGAAGAGUUCUUCUUGUUCUUGAUGAUGUUGAUGAAUUGGAAAAAAUAAGAAAAUUAAUGGGAACUCAAAUUCCUUUUCAUCCGGGAAGUAAAAUCAUCAUAACUAGUAGAAACCGAUGCCUAUUGAAUGCACAUUUUAUAAGCCAAAUGUUUGAUUUGGAAGCAUCAACUAGCUGUGGAGGCUUAAGCAAGCUAUUUGAAGUAAAAGAAUUAGCUUCAAGUGAAUCGCUACAACUUUUUAAUUNNNNNNNNNNNNNNNNNNNNNNNNNNNNNNNNNNNNNNNNNNNNNNNNNNNNNNNNNNNNNNNNNNNNNNNNNNNNNNNNNNNNNNNNNNNNNNNNNNNNGGGCUCUUCAUUAUCUAGCAAAAGUGUGAGUUCUUGGAAAAGUGCAUUGGAGAAAUUAGAAGAAAUCCCUGACAGCAAAAUUCAAAAGAUUCUAAGAAUAAGCUAUGAUUCUUUGGAAGACGAUCAUGACAAAAAUUUAUUCCUUGACAUAGUUUGUUUAUUCAUUGGGAAGGAUAGAGAUUACACGACUACAAUUCUAGAUAGUUGUGAUUUCUAUACAACAAUUGGAAUUGAAAAUCUAGUAGGCAGGUCUCUUUUAAUCAUUAAUGAAAAAAACAAGCUAAUGAUGCACCAAAUGAUUAGAGAUAUGGGACGAGAAAUUAUUCGUCAAGAAUCUUCUGAUAUUGAGAAACGAAGCAGAGUGUGGCAUAAGAACGCAUUUGAUGUAAUAAGAGAAAAAAUUGUAAGAAACAUCAUUUUACUCAACUUUUUUCUUGUAUGCAUGUAAACUACUUUUUUUUUUUAUCAAAUUUCUUUUUAUUUUUUAAAAAAGGUUUUCUGAUGCAGGGUUCCAAAACAGUUAAGUGCCUCACACUUGACCUAAAAGGAUUGCUAGAAGACAAGGCUAAAAGGACAAAUACAACUCUACACUUUCCAAAGCAUUCCAAAAGUCAGUUUCUCAUGGCAAAUGAUGUUGAUAUGGAAACUCAAGCAUUUGCAAAGAUGAAGAGACUUAAACUGCUUCAACUGGAUUAUGUAAAACUUAAAGGAGACUUCAAAGACUUUCCCAAAAGAUUAAGAUGGUUACGUUGGCAUGGGUUUUGUAUGCAAUCUUUUCCGGUGGAUUUCGAUAUCAAUGAACUAGUUGUUCUCGACAUGCGCAACAGUAAACUUAAACAAGUUUGGAAGGAUACAGAGGUAUGAUAUAUACUAAUUUUCCUUCUUUUUGUGUGUAUGUGUGUAACAAUAAUAUAUAAAUGAAGGGUUUUCUUUUUUUGCAGUGCCUCCCAAAUUUAAAGAUCCUUAAUCUCAACCAUUCACAUAGCCUUCUUAAAACCCCAAGCUUUUCAGGACUCCCUAGCCUUGAGAAGUUGAUGCUCAAAGAUUGCAUAAAUUUGGUAGAAGUUGAUCAAUCCAUUGGUGAGCUAAAGAUGCUUACUUUCUUGAACCUAAAAGAUUGCACAAGUCUUAGGAAACUUCCAAGGACAAUUGGUUCAUUAAUAUCACUUGCAGAGCUUAUUUUAUCUGGUUGUUCAAGACUUGAUGAUGUCCCCAGGGAGUUGCAUAAUAUGAAAUCAUUGAAGGUGCUUAAUUUAGAUGAAACUUCCAUAUGUCAAACAAGAUUGGGAUUACAUUGGCUCUUACCGAAAAGAAGUAAAGAAUUGGGUUUCUCUUGGGCAUCUCUACCGUGCUCUUUGGUAAAAUUAAGCCUUGAAAGUUGCAAAUUAUCUGAUGAUGUCAUGCCCAAUGAUCUUUAUAACUUAGCUUCAUUGAAAUCCUUAAAUUUUAGUAGAAACCCAAUUCAUUGCCAUCCCGAAAGCAUAAAAAAACUUACAAAACUUGAUGAACUUCUAUUGACUUCUUGCACUGAACUCCAAAUAAUUCCAAAGCUUCCAGUCUUGCCCAAUGUUUUUGAGUUCUUGACAAUAUCUCCAUUUAAAGGAUAUUGGGCAAUUCUUCCAUGCUUCUUUUCUUCCACACGAUGUGUUAUUUUUGGAUGUGAAAAAUUGACUGAAGUUGAAGAUCUAUUCAAGUUGGGACCAAUUGAAAACUUUGAAGAAGAAGAGAUUAGAAGAUUAUUCAACCUGGAUUCCAUUAGCAGAAAUCGACUGCAACUUUAUAGCUACCUAACAGACAGCAUAAUGCUUGCUACCCCACAGGUUCUCCAACUUAAAUUUUAACUUUAUUUUUUUCUCUUACAUUACUUAAUGAACACAUUCGUAAUCAUCUAACAUGUUUUUUUUGGAUCAGGUCUUGCAGGAAUGUGGUAUAACAAGUACUUUUGUUGUGGGAAGUGAAGUUCCUAUUGUGUUUAAGCAUCGCACUAACGAGCACCGAAUCUCUUUUUCUUUGCCAACACCAUCUCAUCCAGAUGAAAAGAUCCAUCGGUUCAGCUUAUGCAUUGUUUUCUCUUUAGCUAGUGAUCAAAUAUUGGAGUUUCUACCAAGUGUCCACAUUUUCAAUGAGACCAAAAGGAUCAUGCAGAGAUAUCGCUCAAGUUUCAUCGGAAUUCCUGAGACUAACGAUAACACAAUGUUGUGGUUGAUCCAUUGGCCAGUAACGGAUUGUGAGUUUGAAGGUGGUGACCUUGUGAGUUGCAUGGUAGUGCCUGUUCAUCUCAGCAUAAGAAAAUUUGACGUUACUUAUGAAUCACAACACAAAGUUAGAUAUAAAUAUGGCUUUUCCCACGUAUCUACAGGUAUGACUAUGACUUCAAAUGAUUAUGUUUAUGGAAUAUUAACCCAUGCACUAUUAACACUUACUAAACUAAAGAUAUAUCCUUAUUGAAAUAAUAAUUUUUUUGACAAAGGAAAUAAUAAAUUAUAUGAAUAUUUAAUGUGUUUUCAGUGACAAGAUUAUAUAUUAGUGAAUACAUCCUAUUAUUUUUUUAAUGUUUCCUUUUAGAUGUCAAUAACAAAUGUUUAAGAAAUGAUAAAUGUUGCAAUUGGGAUCUAAUUAAAAUAAUUUAAUUGUUUGAUAAAUGAUUAAUUUACAAGUCUUAUAACACAUUUUAACAUUUUAGUGAUAAUAAUAUUAGUUUUUAAUUUUUUUUCAUAUAAUAUUAAGAGGAAGGAAUGGGGUCACACGGUUUGAAUCUGUGUCAAAUAGGUGUCUGACAAAAGAUUUAACCAUCAGUGUAUUCAAGUUAAGACUACUAUUUUAAUAUUCUAAUAGGCAUACUACAAUUGAUAAAUAACACAUUAUUGUACAUAUUUUAGGAAAUGAAGUUACCACAAGAAAUAUGAUGAUGGACCUGACUAAAGACUUACCCAGUUUGGAAUCUUAUGGAAAUGUUAAAGUGCAACUUUGCAAUUUUAUAGAAGAAUCAAAAGUGGUUGCUUCCCCACAGGUUCCCUUUACAAGUUUCAACUUUUAAAAAAUAUUUAUAUAAUAUUUUUUAAAAUUUUAUUCUAUAACCCAAUGCUACAGGUAUUAUACGAUUACGGCAUAAUUACAACAUUUGAUACAUUUCCAUUUGAUUACAUUGGCCACUACCAUGGCCUUCAAGCUGGCAAGACUGAGGUUUCAAUAUCAGUGCCCCCAAACUCUAGUCGAAAGAUAAGUUGCUUCUUAAAUUCGAUUAUCAUUUUUUCUGCCAAGAAUGAUAAAACAUAUGGAUUUUUACCAUGCCUUGAAAUUGUGAACGAGACCAAAGGUACAAAGUGGACCUACUCCAAACAUUUCAUGGGAAUUCCUGAAACCAAGAAUACCUUAUACUGGACGACUUGUUGGAACUUUAGGGGUGAUGAACUAGAAGCUGGUGAUCAUAUUAGUCUUCGGGUUCUUUCAAAUUUAUCUGUACUAGAAUUUGGGAUUGACCUUGUAUAUGAUUAUGAGCUAGAUGACAACUCAAAUUUUUUCAGUCAGUUGCCAUGGAUGAGUAAAUGUUUUAAGUAUCUUUUCGGGACUUUUGUUCUUAUUUCGUCAAAAGCCCAAAAAAACUUGUAUAGGUUGCAAAGUUUAGUCAAAUGCUGAUUAUCGUAGGAUUGAAAUGGAGCAAAUGAAUAUUUUGGUUUAGUCAUUGCCGCCUUGGCUUGGCUGAUUUCAUCUUAUAUUUAAUCUCUUAUUCUUUUAUGUAUGCUAUCGAUAUUGAUUUUUGCUCAAGUUCUUCAAUGAAGCACCUUGUUCUUGGUAAUUCAAUUAACUUGUGCUUUUAAUCAGAUGUCGGAGUUAUUUUAGUAGACUUAAUUGAUUUUGUAUAUAUGGAAGUAAAGUAAAUGUGAGCUUAGCUCGCUUUCAGGGAAGAGUAGUGUACCAAAAGAAAGUUGAAAAUGGUAAGCUAGGAGGUGAUGAUCGUAGAGAUGAAAUAUUAGAAGGAGAAAACGAGAAAAAGCAUUCUUGGGAGAUGAUUUGAUUACCAUUUGUGGAACACUAAUUCCUAUAACUACGUGGGCUUGUUCAUAAGACUUCUCUUAGAAUCUCGAACAAAUAUCAGUUGAUUGUUCUGGUUUAAAUAUUUAAUUUUUAAGAGAAUAUAUUAUUACUUUAUUCUACCCUCUCGAAGAUUUAUAUCAAGUCCAAACUGUUGCGAGUUGAUAGCCAUGAUGGAAAUCAAUUUUGAGCAAUUUUUUGAAGGAGCUGAAAUAAAAUUGUAUAUUUUUAUAAUAGUAAAAGUAAAAUUUCACCAUUUUAAUAGUCUAUAUAUUUAUAAUUUUUAAAAAAUUAAAUCAAAAUUUUCUCAUUCUUUUACUUGAACUGUUUCACUCAACAUAAUAAAUUCGUGCGCUAAUCGAUUUCACGGCAUUUAAAGUAGUGAAGACGAUGGGAUAAGGCUAAUGUUGAUAUGGGAUCUGAAAAAGCAGGUAAGAGUAGUAGACUAUGAAAAGUCAUAAUAUAUUAUAAACAUUUCUUACGUUACAUUUCAACCACCUCUUUAAUUCCACCAGAAUCCGGUACUACUCGCUCUUGAGUGCUAACACUCUCCUCGUUACGGCCCUCCAACUUUUUCCUCCACAAUAUUUUAAGAAAAACUCAAUUCAAAUAAUAUUUUUAUAUUUGAGGUUUAUGAUUAUUUCUCUUAAUAAUGUUGUCUUUAAAAUUCAGAUAUCUAUUUCUCUUGAAAAUACAAUACCUUAAUUAUUCAAAUAAUAGUCUUAACAGAAAGAUUAAGCACCAAAUAUUCUAUAAAUACUAACAAGCUAAUGGUCUAAAGUCUAGAUUGAGUAGCACUAUUAUCCAAAUUCCGAAACAUAGUGCAACAAAUCAAUUCUUUCCCGGCGACCAAAUGACGUUUAUUAUAUAUAUAGAACUCUACAACCUAGUGCUACUAAUUAUCAAUUUUAUUGUUGUGACUCCAUAAACUAAAAUUUAGUUGAUCCCUUGACUCAAGAGUGUAAUUAUUCGAAUAGGGAUUAUAUCUCUUUUACAGUGGUACACUAAUUCGUCUUAUUAUAUGGGUUUAUUUAUAAGAGUUCUCUUAAAUAUUUAUGUCAAAUCCAAAUUGUUGUGAAUUCUUUUAACAUUUCAAGGAGUUUUGUCCAUAAGUAAAAGUCUUUGGUAAAAGUAUUAGAUAAUAAGUAAUUGAUAAAAAAUUUCAUUCUAAAGGCAACUAGCAAAGAGCUGUUUAAUAUUUUUCAACAUUCAUGAAGGGUUUUUAUGUACUUUUAUUGAAUGGAAUAGAAUUUUUUUUUCCUAAUAAAUGAACCACGAGAAGCAAAAUGUUUUCCAAGGAAUAUUCUUACCAUAUCUAUUUAAUAUGUAAUUCGCAACUUGUUCUUGAAAGGAAAACCAUAAUAAUUUUCCUAGAAUCUCUAUUUGGAAACUUGGAAGUCUUUUAAAUCAACCGAAUCAUCUUACUCGAAUACUUUAUCAACUUUAUACAAAUUAUUCUUUGCAUCACUAAAUAUUGUUCAUGACCUUGCACCCACUUUCAUGCAGAAUUAUUUCUCCCAUGCAGGGAAUGGUCUCCAUGAAUUAUUGCCAUAUUUCCAUUUAGGAUUAGUAAAUUUCAAUAACUUUUUUGGUGGACGUGAUAUCUAUUUUGAUGAUAUGACAUGGUUUGUUUUGAUCCAAAAAAGACGAUGAAUGACAUGAAAUUGAACUAUGAUUUUAAAGAAGGGACUUGAGUUUAUAUAUGAUUAUAUAGGCGGUAAUUCAAUUUUCCUUUCCUUGUUGGAAAAGGAAUUCCAUUUUGACUUUAAUUGUAAUUUUUAAGUUGUUGUUUUCUUAUUGUUAAUUAUUUAAAAAAUAAUCGCAUUUUAACUUGCAAACUUAAAUAUUAAACUAUUAUCUUUAUGUUUACUUUUUAAUGAUAAUUAACAAAAAUAUUUGGUUUUAAAAUUUUAAUACAAUCAAUGAAACACAAUUCACACACAUGAAUAAUAAAAUUUGACGUGAUUAAAUAAAUAUUGAAUUUUGUUAUAUUUUUAAUAAUAAAUAUAGGUAAAAUGGUAAUAAAUUGGGAUUUUAAUGUCAUUUAAAACGUGUCAAAUAAAUAUUAGAUUAGAUAUUCAAUAUUAAAAAUUAAUAUAUAUUAAUUGAAUUAUAAACGAGUUUAGAAAUUCAAAAUUGUAAAAAUUAAUAUAUAUUGAAUUAAAUGACUACCAUACAUAAUCUUAUUCGAAUAAUAAUAAUGAAAAAUAAAACUGAGUAUUUAAGACAAUUUCGUUGUAUUUGUUUGUUCUAUGAUCCAACUAUGGUAGGUAAGCGUGAUGUAGGUUCAUCGUACUCCCAUCCAGUGGCUUUAAUUUGCUCUAAUGGAAUCGAAAACGAAUCAAUCCUUUUAACAUCGGAAAUCGACUUUAUUUUCAAAAAAAGUUUUGGGUCGAUUUUGGAGUUCCAAUCAAUAUCAUCGAUAUACAUAUCUGCUGCAUUACUUGGCAACUUAUUUGUGCAAGGAAAACGAUGAUAAUAUUCCCAGAAUCUCUGUUUGGCUUUCUGGAAAGCUUUUAAACCAGUUGAAUCAUCCCAUUCGAAUACUUUAUCGGUUUUGAACAAAUUAUUCUUUGAUUCAACAAAUUUUUUCCAUGGCAUUGCACCCACUUUUAUGCAGAAUUUUUUCUCCCAUGCAAAUAAUGGUUCACAUGAAUUACCGUUAUCAUUCAGUUUGGGUCGAGUAAAUUUCAGACUGUAGUACCUUUCUCGACGAUUAUGAUAUCUUCUUUGAUAAUAUGACAUGAUUUCUUGUAAUCCAAACAAAUAAAUGAAUUGAAAUCGCUAAUGAUAUCAAUUUACAGUGAGGAGACUCGUUGGGUUUAUAUAAUAUUAUUAGAGUCAGUGGUGACUCAAUCCUUUUCCUUGUUGGAAAAGGAAUUCCAAUUUCAGUUUGAUUAUGAUUUCUAUUUUCUAAAUAUUUGUAUAAUAAAAUUAUUAAAAAAAAUAACUAUAUCUGUAUUGAUAAUAUUUUCUUAUUAAAUGGGUUUUAUGAGUUAAAUAACAAUCAAACCAAGACUGGGAGACUGAACUGCAUCAGGUCUUAGGGGUGAUCCAUCGCUUCAACCACUAUCCACCAUCUACAUCCUUCCCCUGUAUAAACUCUGUUAAAUAUAUACAGAGAGAGAGAGAGACAAACAAAUUAUAACGAUAGUAAAAAAAAUCAAAACUAAAAUAUAAGCAUUUUUCUUAUAAGGUGAAAAGAAAUAAUGGACUUGAGUACUUGAAAGAACUAACCGACCUAAGUUUAUAAAUUAUUAUUUAGUACAAUGAUUCGAACUCAAUUGCUUUUAAGAAAAAUUAACACUCGACCAAUAUAUUACAAUAUGAGUUGUUAUUAUGAUUUAAUGUAACAUUCAAUCAAUAAAAGAUAACCAAUUCCUGAACGCUACCUAACAAUAUUUUCUUUGCCAAAUACUUUAUCAGUCUUAAACAAAUUAUUCUUUGCAUCAACAAAUCUUUUUCAUUUAUCAGUCUUAAACAAAUUAUUCUUCGCAUCAACAAUUUUUUUCCAUGACAUUGCACCCACUUUGAUGCAUAUUUUUUUCUCCCUUGCGGGUAAUAAUUUCCAUAAAUUACUGUCUUUAGGUUUGAGAUGAAUAAACUUCUGUAUGCAGUAAUUUUCUUGACGAUUAUAAUACGAGAAAUAUGAAUUUAAAGUGAAGGGACUUUCCUUGUUGUGAAAGGAAUUUCAGUAACUAUUUGUAAAAUAAAAUUAUUAAAAAAUAAUUAUAUCUAUAUUGAUAAUAUUUUUUUAUUAAAUGGGUUUUAUUAGUUAAAUAACUUUAUUAAUUAGUUGAAUAGCAAUCAAACUCAACUUUAAAAUUUUAAAAGUAAUAUUACUGAAUAAAGAAUUAUAACUUAGUAACAACAUUCUAUUUGAACAUUGCAACAGUAAUUCAGUUUGAAAAUUGCAACAGUAAUUUAGUGAAAUUGACUAAAAAGAUUACUCUAUCUUCUUCCAAGUUGCAUCUUUCAAUCCAACCAAUUGGAAGCAUCAACACCAUAGAAUCAUAUAAGAAAAUCUACAAACUACGGUGCGACACCAUAGAAUCAUAUAAUUAAGAACAUCUACAAACUAUGUAGACACGGCUUCUUCACACAUUAGAUUUACCCUUAUGAAAUAGAAUAGGAGAACCCUCUGACUUGGUCAAUCAUAGCCCCUGUACUGUUCAACUUCCCAAAUCUAAGAAUAGUACCAUCCACGGGACUGACUUGUUAUUUAACAGAACACACUCUUAGCAAUACUUCAGAGUGACAUUAAUGAAAAUAUUAACAUGUCCAACAUGUUCGUAACCAGUUUCCAGACUAUAGGCAUUAGGUUGAGAGGCCUGUAACCUUCUUUCAAUGUGAAAAGUGACUUUUAUUAUACAAGAUGCAUCUUCUUCAAAAGAGAGAGCUGCUACUUCUAGGUCUUAAAUGCAAACCAAAAUACCACAUCAUAAGUUAUUCUUCAUUUUCAGUUGACUGUGCAUUCAUCCCAUCAAUCGAAAAAAGCGAUCUAAAGUUAUUCUUCAUGAUAAACAUACUUGAGUGGAAAGCACAAGCCCAUGCUUUAUGAAAUUUGUUUUCACAAGGAAAACAUGAUAAAUUUUCUAGAAUUUUUAUUUGACUUCCUGAAAAGCUGUUAAACCGGCUAAAUCAUUUCACUUGAACACUUUGUCAUUUUCAUACAAAUUCUUAUUUGUUUCAACAAAUCUUUCCCAUGGCAUUGCACUCCUUUCUAUGUAGAAGUUUUUCUCCCAUGCAAGCAAUGGUUUGGGUUUGGGAUGAGUGGUCCUUUGUUGUGAAAAUAACGAAUAGAAAUAUCAUUUAUAGAAAUGCCAAAUAGAUAUAUCUUUCUAUAAAAUAUAAUGCAUCUUGUAAUAAAAUAUCCUUUCAUAAGGUUAUAUUAUUUUAUAAAAUAAUUUUAUAUAAAAUUAUGUAUUUAUAUAAAAAUUUUAUGUACAUCUACACAACAUUAUUAUUCAUUAAUCAAUAAGUGUAAUAUACAUUUUUUCUAGAUAAUAAAAAGCGACCGCCAAAUGAUUUUAUUUUUUCAAUCGAAUUUUUGUUUUAGUCAUUUUAUUCAAAUUUGAAGUUUAUUUUUUUUAAUUUGAUAUAAAUUAACAUAGUUAAAUAUUCUUGUGCUAAUGUGAAAACUCUUUAAACUAUUAUUUUCGAUUCAUUAUGUUACUAGGGUUUUUUAUUUUAUUUUAAAUGAGAAAUUGAUAUAAAAUCCCAUUAAACUUUAAAAUUGGACUGAUUUUUUAAAAAAGUUAAAUUAUAUGUUUAACUGUGAACAAAAUAUGUUUAGCAAAAUAUGUUUAACAUGCAUUAAAAGGCAUCGUGGUUCAUUGGUUUCUAGAUGCGAACAAAUUAUGUGGCUUUAUAACUUCUGAGAAAAGUUUUGAGUCGAUUUCAAGAUUCCUAUCAAUAUCAUUGAUAUAUAAAUCAACUGCAUUACUUCUUACAAGGAAAGCCAUGAUAAUUUUUCGAGAAUUUUUGUUUGACUGAUUGCCACUGAAUACUUUAUCAGUUUUAAAUAAAUUAUUCUUUGCAUCAACAAACCUUUUUCAAUAUAAAGUAAUUUUAAAAAUAAUGAUUAUAGAGUAAAGAAUUAUUUUUUUUAUAAAUUUUUUGAAAUAAUUAGAUAAACAUAAAGAUGCAUUAUAUAUAUAAUAAAGAUAAAGAUAAAGAUAAACAUGAUUAAUUUUACCUUUAUUUUAAAGUAUAGCUUUUAUUAUCCAUUAAAUUAAAUAUAAAAUUAAUUUUACCUUUACCUUAAAUAUUUAAUUAGAUAAACAGAAAUUAUAGAAGUCCUUUUUGUCAUAGACCUUCAACUUGAUAACAUAUAAUUGUAACAACAAUUCAGUGAAAUUUGACUAAAAAUUGCGAAAUUGACUAAAAAAUGCAUCUAUAGAUACAAAUAAUCUCCAAUUCAACAUUUAUCAUUCAUUAAUUAAUAAGUAUAAUGUACUUGAUUUUUUGUAGAUAAUAAAAAACGUUUGAAAUUAUUUCACAAUAUAAUUUUUGUUUAUUAAGAUUUUAUUUUGUUUUUUCAUCUUUUCAGAUGUCAUAUGAUAUAAUCAUUUUAGCCCUAGCAUAGGUAAAUAAAUAAAAUUUAUUUUUUAUCAAAUUAUUGUUUUAAUAUUUAUAUUUAAAUUUGAAGUUUAAUUUUUCUAAAUUUGACAUAAAUUAACAUAGUUAACUAUUUUUGUGUUGAAAUGAAAACUCUUUAAAGUAGUAUUUUCGAUUCAUUAUGGUUUUUUUUAUUUUAAAUGAGAAAUGAAUAUAAAAUAUACCUAUUCAUUGGUUGGGCCACCCGACCCACCCAAAAAGCACGAGAGUUUGGGCAAAAACAUAAGUCCGAAAAAUGGGCUUAGGCAAAAAAACUAAAAGGGUCUAUUUUAAUAACGGGCUGGGCAUUGAGUAAGGUUUUUUUAGCCCAGACCCAACCCGACCCAAAUUAGCAAAAAGACAAAUAAAAAUUGCUUCUCUUGUGUUUUCUCACUAUUUUGCUAUCAUUUUACUAUUAUGUUAUUACUACUUUUUUUGUUAUUGUUUAGAUAUUGCAUAACUCUUGUUUUAUAUUUAAUUUUGUUAUUAUUUUAGAGAAAUUUGCUUGUUAAGUUGCAGUUAUCUUAAUGCUAUUUAAGUAUAAAGACUUUUUUUUAACUUAUUUUCAAUAUAUUAAGAAAUAUUUAUUUUAAUAUUUUUAGUGUAUUUGGUGUAUUAUAUUUUUUAAAUUUUUAUAAAAAAUAAACUUUAAAAAAGUCAGACCUAGGUUAUAGCAUUUUUAUCUGUGCAGAACUUAAGUAAAAAUUUAAACCUUUUUUUAGAUCAAACCAAACUUGAACAUAUCAAUCGAACAUAAAAUUUUGUUAGGAAUUGACCCGACAAACCAAAUAUUCCUAUCCCAUCGUCUUCAUUACUUUUAUUGCCCCGAAAUUGGUUAGCCCAUGAAUUUAUUAUGUUGAAGCCCCUCUUUAAUUGCAAAUUUGAGGUUGAUAAAAUCAUUAUUUAAUGUCUGAAUUUGAUAAUAUUUUUUUGUAUUGUUCAACUUUGACCUUUAACUUCCUUAUUACCACUUCUGUUUACCACCAAUUUUUGGUCGCAAACCAAAUGGACCGUUUUCUAGUACCAUUAUUUUCACACCAACUACUUUGGAAUGAGUCUCCUUCUCUUGCGUCCCUCUCAAUUCUCAUUUUCAAAUUUACUUUAGUGUAUUUUUUUUUAAUUUAAAAAAAAUUAUUUACUUUAAAUAAGACAAACAAAUCAAAUAAAAAAUUGACGAUUUGAUCAAUUUAAUCGCUAACUUUUUUUGAAAAACAAUUGGUUAAUAAUACUUUAUUCAUGCAGAGGUACUAAAAUUGUCUUUUUAUUAUACUGAAUUGAGAUGUGUUGUGGUCGUAGUUUAAUUAUUGAGUGUUAUCCAUCAAGGUAUUAGCUGAUAAAAGUAUCAUGGAGGCUCUAAUAUUGAGAGUCAAAUUGUAUUUAACUCCUUUUAUUAAAAGAGUAAGUUAAUCCAUGUACAUUAGAUAGAAGAGUAAAUUGAUCAUUUUUAUUAAAAUGAUUCAUCUUUUUUUGUUGUUAAAAACUAACGUGGUUGGCAAAAUAAUCAGGCAAUACCUUAUGUUGAUUACAUGGAUCAAUUUUUAAUAAUAAUGGAUGAAAUUUUUUAAUAAAAGAACUAGUUUACUCUUUAAUCGGACCUACAAAGACUAAUUUAUUUAUUUUUUUAAGUAGAAAAUAUAAAAUACAAUCUGACCAAGAAUACAAGAAGAUACUUUUACUGAUAUUAUUAGGUUGAAGAUGAUGCUUCCGUGUUGUAUUGACGAUAACGAUGAAGUUAAUCAAUACAUUGUAUUUGUCAAGCAAAAUUAAUAAUAUAAGAAAAGUAUUCCAAUUUGGUAGAUUUAAAAAAAAGGAACAUGGUCGACAUGAAUUUCUUCGGUGGAAGGAUUGACCCACCAUAGAUUGGGAACUGCCACUUGACUGCUACUAAUAUCUGCAUUUCCAUCUAUAUAUGUAUGUAUAUAUAUAUAUAUAUAUAUAUAUGCUGGAACCUUGUUAUUACAUAAAAAUACAGGACGACUUCAUUUUCUUCUUCAAUGGCAGUGUCAGAAAUCUCGCGAUGUACUUAUCAUGUAUUCUUGAGUUUUAGAGGUGAAGAUACGCGCAAAAGUUUCACGGAUCAUCUUUACACAGCUUUGGUGCACUUAGGAAUUCGAACAUUUAGAGAUGAUGAGGAAAUCGAGAGAGGGAAUAACAUAAAAGAUGAAAUUGAAAAAGCAAUACUACACCACUCCAAAAUUUCUAUCGUUGUUUUCUCAAAGAAUUAUGCUGCAUCCACAUGGUGUCUUAACGAACUUGUAAUGAUAUUGGAGCACAAGAAAUCCUCUAAACAUAUUGUGUUGCCAGUUUUCUAUGAUGUGGAUCCCAGUCAAGUCAAGAACCCGACGGGAAGUUAUGCAGAAGCAUUUACCCAACAUGAACAAAACUUCGAGUCCAUGGUACAAAGAUGGAGGAAUGCUUUAAAAGAAGUUGCGGAUAUAGGAGGCAUGGUUCUACAAGACAGGUACGUUAUACACAUAAUCAGGUUCCAUAUGGUUACUUCAAUCCUUUUCAUUAAGACUUGAUAGAGUAGAAAUAAAAUUAAUAGAAAAUAUUGUUAGGUAGCGUUUGGAAAUUAAAAUGGUUACUUCAAUCCAUUUUAAAGGGUUAAUUAUAAUUCAGAUUUUAAAUUAUUUCUCAAAUAUUAAAAUGUUUUAAUUGAUUUAUUAAAGUAUUAGUAUUGUAUCAACAAGGUCUUUCUAUCAAACAAAUCAUCACCUUAAGCAUUAAAUGUUAGCUCGAAUCUAAUGUGGGAUGUUUUUAGAACACAUAGAUCAAGUUUUAAAUACGUUUGCACCUAUCACAUGAACAACUUGGAUUUGACGAGUUGAAAACAAAAAAAAAAGAAACUCUUGAAUUUAAUGACACUAUUUUUGAUUUUCUAAGAUGUCAUUGUUGGUAAUGCAAAAGAAUAUUUUGAAUUGUGGAAAAUCCUCUAACCGUUGCAGAAAACAUUUUUAGAAUAUUUUCAGUUAGGAAAAUCCUUUGCUAUUUUUGGAAACUAAAACUAUUAUUUUACCAUUUUGCCCAUCAAAAAAUAGUAUAAAUAGGAGGCGGUUCUCCCACCUAACACAACAAGAGAAAAACAACUUCGCUAUGUUCUCUAAAUUCUAGUGUUCUGCAAAAUUACACGAGAUGGAAAUUUUGUCUAAGAGAUUAGGUUUUAAGCGGGACUGUUUGUGACCCCUUUAAUCUUUCUUGGGAAUUGAAUUUUUUUUUUCCGGGAAGAGUAAUGUCAAUCGUGUUCCACCUUCUUUAUUCGGGUGUAUGAAUAUUGGAGUAUUGUGUUGGGGGGUAACGUCCACUACACGAUUACAUCGGUCAAGGCGAAUUUAUCUCUACUGCAGUGGUUCUUCCACGACACAAUGAUUCUUAUUUUAUUUACAUUCAGUUUGGUCUCCUGUAACAAUUCUAUUUUGCAGUACUAUAUUUCCAACAAUCAUAUCCAAGUUAUUCGUGUAAUAGGUCUACACAUAUUCAAAAUGUUACAAUGAAUAAAAUAUAUAUAUAAAUUCAUGUAAAUAACAUGAAUUUAUUAAACUUUCACAAAGUGAAAGUUGAAAUUUUGAGUAUAGGUUGUUUCUCGAACGAAUUUCAUUAAUUUUUAUGUUGUUUUAUUUGAUUUGAUUUUAAAUGUAAUAAUUCUAUCGAAAUGUUGCAUUAGUUUCUUAUUUUUACUUUAACAUAUAAUCUCAUAAAAACAAUCAAAAUAUAUGCAAGAACAGAGAAAAAACAUUAGUAACAUUUACAUAAUUUCCAAGAUUUUACCAUUGAUCAGUUGUAUUUUUCAAAUUUGCAGGCAUGAAUCACAAUUCAUCCAAGAUAUUGUUAAAGAAGUUCAAAAUAAACUUAAUCUUAUUUCUUUGUAUGUCCCUCCUUAUUUAGUUGGAAUAGAUUCUCUCGUGACACAAAUUAAUCAAUUGUUAGAACAAGAUGGAGCAAAUAAAGUUGGCAUUGCAACUAUUUGUUGGCAUUGCAACUAUUUGUGGCAUUGGAGGCAUUAGGAAGACAACCAUUGCCAAAGUUGUUUACAAUCAAAACAUCCCGAGGUUUGAAGGUUAUAGUUUCCUUGCUGAUGUUAGAGAAACAAGUCAAGAUUGCAAUGGUUUAGUCCGUUUGCAAAGGCAACUUAUUUCAGAUAUCCUUAAAGGAAAAUCACAUAAAAUAUUCAAUAUAGAUAAUGGAAUUAACAAGAUCAAAGAAAUUGUAUGUUGUAGAAGAGUUCUUCUUGUUCUUGAUGAUGUUGAUGGAUUGGAAAAAAAUAAGAAAAUUUAAAUGGGAACUCAAAUUCCUUUUCAUCCGGGAAGUAAAAUCAUCAUAACUAGUAGAAACCGAUGCCUANNNNNNNNNNNNNNNNNNNNNNNNNNNNNNNNNNNNNNNNNNNNNNNNNNNNNNNNNNNNNNNNNNNNNNNNNNNNNNNNNNNNNNNNNNNNNNNNNNNNNNNNNNNNNNNNNNNNNNNNNNNNNNNNNNNNNNNNNNNNNNNNNNNNNNNNNNNNNNNNNNNNNNAUGCAAGAAGUUUAGUGAAACACUGUGGUGGGCUUCCGUUAGCUCUUCAAGUUUUGGGCUCUUCAUUAUCUAGCAAAAGUGUGAGUUCUUGGAAAAGUGCAUUGGAGAAAUUGGAAGAAAUCCCUGACAGCAAAAUUCAAGAGAUUCUAAGAAUAAGCUAUGAUUCUUUGGAAGACGAUCAUGACAAAAAUUUAUUCCUUGACGUAGUUUGUUUAUUCAUUGGGAAGGAUAGAGAUUACACGACUACAAUUCUAGAUGGUUGUGAUUACUAUACAACAAUUGGAAUUGAAAAUCUAGUAGGCAGGUCUCUCUUAAUCAUUAAUGAAAAAAACAAGCUAAUGAUGCACCAAAUGAUUAGAGAUAUGGGACGAGAAAUUAUUCGUCAAGAAUCUUCUGAUAUUGGGAAACGAAGCAGAUUGUGGCAUAAGAAGAUGUAAUAAGAGAAAAAACUGUAAGAACAUCAUUUUACUCAACUUCUUUCUUGUGUGCAUUUAAACUUUUUUUUUUCAAAUUUCCUUUUACUUUGUAAAAAAGUUUUUCUGAUGCAGGGUUCCAGAACAGUUAAGUGCCUCACAAUUGACCUAAAAGGAUUGCUAGAAGACAAGGCUACAAGGACAAAUACAACUCUACAUUUUCCAAAGCAUUUCAUAAGUCAGUUUCUCAUGGCGAAUGAUGUUGAUAUGGAAACUCAAGCAUUUGCAAAGAUGAAGAGACUUAAACUGCUUCAACUGGAUUAUGUAAGACUUAAAGGAGACUUCAAAGACUUUCCCAAAAGAUUAAGAUGGUUACGUUGGCAUGGGUUUUGUAUGCAAUCUUUUCCGGUGGAUUUCGAUAUCAAUGAACUAGUUGUUCUCGACAUGCGCAACAGUAAACUUAAACAAGUUUGGAAGGAUACAGAGGUAUGAUAUAUACUAAUUUUCCUUCUUUUUGUGUUUGUGAGAAACAAUAAUAUAUAAAUGAAGGGUUUUCUUUUUUUGCAGUGCCUCCCAAAUUUAAAGAUCCUUAAUCUCAACCAUUCACAUAGCCUUCUUAAAACCCCAAGCUUUUCAGGACUCCCUAGCCUUGAGAAGUUGAUGCUCAAAGAUUGCAUAAAUUUGGUGGAAGUUGAUCAAUCCAUUGGUGAGCUAAAGAUGCUUACUUUCUUGAACCUUAAAGAUUGCACAAGUCUUAGGAAACUUCCAAGGACAAUUGGUUCAUUAAUAUCACUUGCAGAGCUUAUUUUAUCUGGUUGUUCAAGACUUGAUGAUGUCCCCAGGGAGUUGCAUAAUAUGAAAUCAUUGAAGGUGCUUAAUUUAGAUGACACUUCCAUAUGUCAAACAAGAUUGGGAUUGCAUUGGCUCUUACCGAAAAGAAGUAAAGAAUUGGGUUUCUUGGGCGUCUCUACCGUGCUCUUUGGUAAAGUUAAACCUUGAAAGUUGCAAAUUAUCUGAUGAUGUUAUGCCCAAUGAUCUUUACAACUUAGCUUCAUUGAAAUCCUUAAAUUUAAGUAGAAACCCAAUUCGUUACCUUCCCGAAAGCAUAAAAAAACUUACAAAACUUGAUGAACUUCUACUGACUUCUUGCACUGAACUCCAAAAGAUUCCAAAGCUUCCAGUCUUGCCCAAUGUUUUUGAGUUCUUGACAGUAUCUCCAUUUAAAGGAUAUUGGGCAAUUCUUCCAUGCUUCUUUUCUUCCACACGAUGUGUUAUUUUUGGAUGUGAAAAAUUGACCGAGGUUCAAGAUAUAUUCAAAUUGAAACCAAUUGAAAACUUUGAAGAAGAAGAAAUUCGAAGAUUAUUCAACCUGGAUUCCAUUAGCAGAAAUCGACUGCAACUUUAUAGCUACCUAACAGACAGCAUAAUGCUUGCUACCCCACAGGUCCAACAGUUCUCCAACUUAAAUUUUAACUUUAUUUUUUUUCUCUUAUAUUACUUAAUGAACACAUUUUUAAUCAUCUAACAUGUUUUUUUUUUGGAUCAGGUCUUGCAGGAAUGUGGUAUAACAAGCACAUUUGUUAUAGGAAGUGAAGUUCCGAUUGUGUUUAAGCAUCGCACUAAUGAGCACCGAAUCUCUUUUUCUUUGCCAACACCAUCUCAUCCAGAUGAAAAGAUCCAUCGGUUCAGCUUAUGCAUUGUUUUCUCUCUAGCUCGUGAUCAAAUAUUGGAGUUUCUACCAAGUGUCCACAUUUUCAAUGAGACCAAAAGGAUCAUGCAGAGAUAUGGCUCAAGUUUCAUCGGAAUUCCUGAGACUAACGAUAACACAAUGUUGUGGUUGAUCCAUUGGCCAGUAACGGAUUGUGAGUUUGAAGGUGGUGACCUUGUGAGUUGCAUGGUAGUGCCUAUUCAUCUCAGCAUAAGAAAAUUUGGCGUUACUUAUGAAUCACAACACAACGUUAGAAAUAAAUAUGGCUUUUCACACUUAUCUACAGGUAUGACUAUGACUCCAAGUGAUUAUGUUUAUGGAAUAUUACCCCAUGCACUAUUAACACUUAUCUAAACUAAAGAUAUAUCCUUAUUGAAAUAAAAUUUUUUUUGACAAAGAAAAUAAUAAAUUAUAUGAAUAUUUAAUGUGGUUUCAAUGACAAGAUUAUAUAUUAGUGAAUACAUCCUAUUAUUUUUUUAAUGUUUCGUUUUAGAUGUAAAUAACAAAUGAUUAAGAAAUGAUAAAUGUUGCAAUUGGGAUUUAAUUAAAAUAAUUUAAUUGUUUGAAAAAUGAUUAAUCCUAUUGUUAGUUUACAAGUCUUAUAAUACAUUUUAGUGAUAUAAUAUUCGUAUUUUGAUUUUUUUCAUAUAAUAUUAAGAGAAAGGGAUGGGGUCACACGGUUUGAAUCUGUAUCAAAUAGAUGUUGGACAAAAGCUUGAACCAGCAACCUAUUCAAGUCAAGACUACUAUUUUAAUAUUCUAAUAUGCAUAUCAUGUUGAUGAUCACUAGAAUUGAUAAAUAACACAUUAUUGUACAUAUUUUAGGAGAUGAAGUUGCCACAAGAAAUAUGAUGAUGGAUCUAACUAAAGACUUACCCAGUUUGGAAUCUUAUGGAAAUGUUAAAGUGCAACUUUGCAGUUAUAUAGAAGAAUCAAAAGUGGUUGCUUCCCCACAGGUUCCCUUUACAAGUUUCAACUUUUAAAAAAUAUUUAUAUACUAUUUUUUAAAAUCUUAUUCAAUAACCCAAUGUUACAGGUAUUAUACGAUUACGGCAUAAUUACAAUAGUUGAUCCAUUGCCAUUUGAUUACAAUGGCCACUAUUUUGGCCAUCAAGCUGGCAAGACUGAGGUUUCAAUAUCAGUGCCCCCAAACUCUAGUCGAAAGAUAAGUUGCUUCUUAAAUUCGAUUAUCAUUUUUUCUGCCAAGAAUGAUAAAACAUAUAGAUUUUUACCAUGCCUUGAAAUUGUGAACGAGACCAAAGGUACAAAGUGGACCUACUCCAAACAUUUCAUGGGAAUUCCUGAAAUUAAGAAUACCUUAUACUGGACGACUUGUUGGAACUUUAGGGGUGAUGAACUAGAAGCUGGUGAUUGUAUUAGUCUGCGGGUUCUUUCAAAUUUAUCUGUACUAGAAUUUGGGAUUGACCUUGUAUAUGAUUAUGAGCUAGAUGGUAACCCAAAUUUUUUCAGUCAGUUACCAUGGAUGAGUAAAUGUUUUACGUAUCUUUUCGGGACUUUUGUUUCUCUGUUGUCACAAUCCCAAAAAAACUUGUAUAGGUUGCAAAGUUUAGUCAAAUGCUGAUUAUUGUAGGAAUUGAAAUGGAGCAAAUGAAUAUUUUGGUUUAGUCAUUGCCGCCUUGGCUUGGCUGAUUUCAUCUUAUAUUUAAUCUCUAAUUCUUAUGUAUGCUAUCGAUAUUGAUUUUUGCUCAAGUUCUUCAAUGAAGCACCUUGUUCUUGGUAAUUCAAUUAACUUGUGCUUUUAACCAGAUGUCGUGGAGUUAUUUUUAACUAUUAUUAGGCUAAAUCUUUAGAGAAAAUGGUGAUUUCUAUUUAUGUUUCUAAUAUUCACGCCUGUUUUCAUUGGAAGGGACUCUGGAAAAUCUCUAAGUACCAUGGCAAAGUGUUGGGUGUUUAUUCCUAACAAUAGGAAUUGAAAAGAUCUAUCUUUUGGUUUUGUAAGAUUUGCAAGAAUUAUGGAUGCUAAGAGGGCGAUUAGUAGACUUAAUUGAUUUUGUAUAUAUGGAAGUAAAGUGAAUGUGAACUUAGCUCGCUUUGAGGGAAGAGUGGUGUACUAAAAGAAAGUUGAAAAUGGUAAGCUAGGAGGUGAUGAUCGUAGAGAUGAAUUAGGAGUAGAAAACGAGAAAAAGCAUUCUUGGGAGAUGAUUUGAUUACUAUUUGUGGAACACUAGUUCCUAUAACUACAUAUGCUUGUUCAUAAUAGUUAUCUUAAAAUAUCGAACAAAUAUCAAUUGGAUGUUCUGGUUUAAAUAUAUAAUUUCAAGAGAAUGUAUUCGUACCUCAUUCUACCCAAGAUUUAUGUCAAAUCCAAACUGUUGUGAGUUGUUAGCCAUGAUGAAAAUCAAUUCUGUAACAGUUUAAUAGGGUGGAGUUAGAAAAUUUUUUGAAGGGAGGCCGAAAUAAAAUUAUAUAUUUUUAUAACAAUAAAAGUAAAAUUUUACUAUUUUAAUAGUCUACAUCUUUAUAAUUUUUAAAAAAUUAAAUUAAAAAUUUUUCGUUUUCACUCCAACUGUUUCACUCAACAUAAUAAAUUCAUUUAAAGUAGUGAAGACGAUGGGAUAAGCUAAUGUUGAUCGUAUGGGAUGUGAAAAAGCAAGUAAGAGCAGUAGACUAUGAAAACUCGUAAUAUAUUUAUAAACAUUUCUUACGUUACAUUUCAACCACCUCUUUAAUUCCACCAGAAUCCGGUACUACUCGCUCUUGAGUGUAAUUAUUCGAAUAGGGAUCAUAUCUCUUUUAUAGUGGAAUACUACUUUGUCUUAUUACAUGGGCUUGUUCAUAAGAGUUCUCUUAGAAUAUCGAACAAAUAUCAGUUGGGUAUUCUGGUUUAAAUAUUUAAUUUUCAAGAGAAUAUAUUCUUACUUCACUCUGUCCUCUCGAAGAUUCAUGUCAAAUCCAAACUGACGUGACGUGAGUUGAUAGUCAUGAUAGAAAUCAAUUCUCUAGCAUUUCAACGAGUUUUGCUCGUAAGUAAAAGUCUUUCGUAAAAAUAUUAGAUAAGUAAUUGGUAAAAAAUUUAAUUCAAAAGGCAACUAGUAAAGAGCUCUUUAAUAUUUUUCAACAUUCAUAAAGGGUUUUUAUGUACUUUUAUUGAAUGGAAUAGAUUUUUUUUUUCCUAAUAGAGGAACCACGAGAAGCAAAAUCUUUUCCAAAGAAUAUUCUUAGUUGAUCUAUUCAAAAUGUACUUGGCAACCAGUUCUUGCAAAGAAAAUCAUAAUAAUUUUUCCUGUUUGAAAUCCUAAAAAUCUUUUAAAUCAACCCAAUCAUCUCAUUCAAAUACUUUAUUAAUUUUACACAAAUUAUUCUUCGCAUCAACAAAUAUUAUUUAUCACCCACUUUCAUGCAAAAUUAUUUUUACUAUGCAAGGAAUUGUCUCCAUGAAUUACUGUCAUCUUUUAGUUUAAGAUGAGUAAAUUUCAACCAGUAAUAACUUUCUUGAUGAACACCAUAUCUAUUUUGAUGAUAUGACAUGCUUUCUUUUGGUUCAAGAAAGGCAAUCAAUGACUUGAAAUUGAACCAUGAUUUUAAAGGACUUGGGUUUAUAUAAGUGGUAAUUCAAUUUCCUUUUCCUUGUUGGAAAAGGAAUUCCAUUUUGACUUUAACAGUGAUUUUUAAGUUGUUGUUUUCUUAUUGUUAAUUAUUUAAAAAAUAAUCGCAUUUUAACUUGUAAACUUAAAUCUUAAACUAUUAUCAUUAUGUUUACUUUCUGAUGAUAAUUAACAAAAAUAUUUGGUUUUAAAAUUUUAAUACAAUCAAUGAAACGCAAUUCACAUAUAUGAAUAAUGAUGAAAUUUGACGUGAUUAAAAAAAUAUUAAAUUUUGUUAUAUUUUUAAUAAUGAAUAUAGGUAAAAUGGUAAUAAACCGGCAUUUUAAUGUCAUUUAAAACGUGUCAAAUAAAUAUUAGAUUAGAUAUUCAAUAUUAAUAAUCAAUAUAUAUUAAUUGAAUUAGACAUUAUAAUUAGUCAUGACUGUCGAAAUUUAAAAUUGUAAAAAUUAAUAUAUAUUGAAUUAAAUGACUACUAUACAUAAUCUUAUUCAAAUAAUAAUAAUGAAAAAAAGAGUGUUUAAGACAAUUUCGUUGUAUUUGUUUGUUCUAUGAUCCAACUAUGGUAGGUAAGCGUGAUGUAGGCUCAUCGUACUCCCAUCCAGUGGCUUUAAUUUGCUCUAAUGGAAUCGAAAAUGAAUCAAUCCUUUUAACUUCUUCUUCUUCCUCUUCAUCAUCGGAAAUCGACUUUAUUUCUAAAAAAAGUUUUGGGUCGAUUUUGGAGUUCCAAUCAAUAUCAUCGAUAUACAUAUCAGCUGCAUUACUUGGCAACUUAUUUGUGAAAGGAAAACGAUGAUAAUACUCCCAGAAUCUCUGUUUUGCUUCUUGGAAAGCUUUUAAACCAGCUGAAUCAUCCCAUUCGAAUACUUUAUCUAUUUUGAACAAAUUAUUCUUUGAUUCAACAAAUCUUUUCCAUGGCAUUGCACCCACUUUUAUGCAUAAAUUUUUCUCCCAUGAGGUAAUGGUUCCCAUGAAUUAUAGUUAUCAUUCAGUUUGAGACGAGUAAAUUUCGGACUGUAGUACCUUUCUGGGCGAUUAUGAUAUCUUCUUUGAUAGUAUGGCAUGAUUUCUUAUAAUCCAAACAAAUAAAUGAAUUGAAAUCGCUAAUGAUUUGAAUUUACAGUGAGGAGACCUGUUGGGUUUAUAUAAUCUUAUUAGAGUCGGUGGUGACUCAAUCCAUUUCCUUGUUGGAAAAGGAAUUCUAAUUUCAGUUUGACUAUGAUUUCUAUUUUCUAAAUUUUUGUAUAAUAAAAUUUUUAAAAAAUAACUAUAUCUGUAUUGAUUCGUUUCCCUCUGAUUGAUACGUUACAUCCCUAGCUUCUCUAGAAUCCUCAUUAACUAUCUGAUCUCUUCACCCAUUGGUGUUCCCCCAAGAGUGUUUUUUCUCGUUUUCUCCUCCUAAUUCAUCUCCACGAUCAUCACCUCCUAGCUUACCGUUUUCAACUUUCUUCCAGUACACCACUUUUCCCUUAAAGCGAGCUAAGUUCACAUUUACUUUACUUCCAUAUAUACAGAAUCCAUUAAGUUUACUAAUUGGCCACUUAUCAUCCACAAUGCUUGCAAAUCUUACUAAAACAAAACGUAUGUAGACCUUUUCGAUGCCUUUUGUUAGGAAUAAACGCGUCCAACACUUUGCCAUGGAACUCAGAGAUUUUCCAUGGUCCCUUCCAAUGAAAACAAGAAGGAAGAUUAGAAACAUAAACUGAAAUCACCAUUUUCUCUAAGGAUUUAGCCUAGUAAUAGUUAACAAUAACUCCACGGCAUCUGAUUAAAAGCACAAGUUAAUUGAAUUACCAAGAACAAUGUUCUUCAAUACUAUUCCAAAUUCAAUUUUGGAACUUCUGUUAUCAUAGCUUUCAACUAUUUGAAACUCUGUUGGCAUUAUUCAAUCACACAUAACUAACAUUUUCUGUAGCAACUUCGUCAUGGUAGAGCUAUCAUCGACAAGCCUGAACAAAUCACCUGUAGUAUACAAUAAAUCCUAGAGAACUACACACUUCUAUAUUAUUUUUCAGAGAUUCCCUAAUUCACAUUUAUCAGGAGUUUAUUCGAAAUAACUCAAAUAUCUUCUGCUGUUAAUAAAAGGUUUAGAAAACUUAUUUCUUGAAAUUAAAAUUCACAUUUAUUGAUUUUCACAAAUAAUUAUUUCUCUCGUAAUAUCUGUACGUAACACUGUUUUUCCAAUACUAAUCGUGUUCAAAUUUUUUCUUCACAUGAAUUGAGUAUCUUUAAUUAUAUAGCAACAACUCUGAUAAGAUACAACUAGAAACUUUUUGUCUAUUAAAUAUAUAAAGUGACUAUGCAAUUGAUAAUCAUAUACAAUAAUCAACAUUUGUCUAAACUUUGCAACCUAUACAAGUCUUUUUGGGAUUUCGACGAAACAUAAACAAAAAUCCCGAGAAGAUACUUAAAACAUUUACUCAUCCAUGGCAACUGACUGAAAAAAUUUGGGUUGUCUUCUAGCUCAUAAUCAUAUACAAGGUUAAUACCAAAUUCUAGCACAGAUAAAUCUGAAAGAACCCGAAGACUAAUAUGAUCACCAGCUUCUAAUUCAUCACUUCUAAAGUUCCAACAAGUCGUCCAGUAUAAGGUAUUCUUAGUUUCAGGAAUUCCCAUGAAAUGUUUGGAGUAGGUCCACUUUGUACCUUUGGUCUCGUUCACAAUUUCAAGGCAUGGUAAAAAUCCAUAUGUUUUAUCAUUCUUGGCAGAAAAAAUGAUAAUCGAAUUUAAGAAGCAACUUAUCUUUCGACUAGAGUUUGGGGGCACUGAUAUUGAAACCUCAGUCUUGCCAGCUUGAUGGCCACAGUAAUGACCAUGGUAAUCAAAUGGCAAUGGAUCAAAUGUUGUAAUUAUACUGUAAUCAUAUAAUACCUGUAGCAUUGGGUUAGAGAAUGAGUUAUUAAAAAGUAUAUAGUAUAUAAAUAAUUUUAAAAACUUGGAACUUGUAAAGGGAACCUGUGGGGAAGCAAUCACUUUAGAUUCUUCUAUAUAACUGCAAAGUUGCACUUUAACAUUUCCAUAAGAUUCCAAACUGGGCAAGUGUCUAGUUAGGUCCAUCUUGAUAUUUCUUGUGGAAACUUCAUCUCCUAAAAUAUGUACAAUAAUGUGUUAUUUAUCAAUUUUAGUGAUCAUCAACAUAAUUUACUUAUUAAAAAAAUAAUAGUAUUGACUUGAAUGGAGUGAUAAUUAUCAAACACCCAUUUGACAAGAAUUCAAAUCGUGACCCAUCCCCAAUACUCAAUAUUGUAUGAAAAAAAGAUAUCAAAAUAGUAAUGUUAUUAUCACUAAAAUAUAUUAUAAGACUUGUAAGAAAUAAUCAAUUAUACACAUUAAAUAACUUUAAAACUAUUAAAUAAGUUAAUCAAAACACCACUUUUAUAAUUUUAUCCAUUAUUUUAGUUUCCACUUCUAUUAGCUAUUGGAUUAAUCAUUUAUCAAACAAUUAAAUUAUUUUCAUUAGACCCCAAUUGCAGCAUAACUUUAUAAUUAUCAUUUUAUUAUUAAGCUAAAUUUCUCUCAUAAUCUAUUAAAUUGUCACAUUUCUUGAUAAUAUUUUUUAUUGUAUUAGAAAGUCUUUUAGAGAAACAUUCAUCAUUUCUUGAACAUUUGUUAGUCACAUAUAAAAUAAAUAUAAUAGGACGUAUUUACUAAAAUAUAAUUAUUUGAAGUCUACUCAUACCUGUAGAUAAGUGCGAAAAGCCAUAUUCAUAUCUAAUGUUGUGUUCUGAUUCAUAAGUAACGCCAAAUUUUCUUAUGCUGAGAUGAAUAGGCACUACCGCGCAACUCACAAGGUCACCAGCUUCAAACUGACAGUCCGUUACUGGCCAAUGAAUCAACCACAACAUUGUGUUAUCGUUAGUCUCAGGAAUUCCAAUGAAACUUGAGCGAUAUCUCUGCAUGAUCCUUUUGGUCUCAUUGAAAAUGUGGACACUUGGUAUAAGCUCCAACAUUUGAUCACUAGCUAAAGAGAAAACAAUGCAUAAGCUGAACCGAUGGAUCUUUUCAUCUGGAUGAGAUGGUGUUGGCAAAAAAAAAGAGAUUCGAUGCUCGGUAGUGCCAUGCUUAAACCCAAUCGGAACUUCACUUCCUACAACAAAUGUGCUUGUUAUACCACAUUCUUGCAAGACCUGAUCCAAAAAGAACUAGUUAGAUGAUUAAGUAGUAUAAGAGAAAAAAUAGAUUUAAAAUUUAACUUGGAGAACUAUUGGACCUGUGGGGUAGCUAGCAUUAUGCUGUCUGUUAGGUAGCUAUAAAGUUGCAGUCGAUUUCUGUUAAUGGAAUCCACUUUGAAUAAUCUUCUAAUCUCUUCUGCUUCAAAGUUUUCAAUUGGUUCCAACUUGAAUAGAUCUUCAACCUCAGUCAACUUUUCACAUCCAAAAAUAAUACAUCGUGUGGAAGAAAAGAAGCAUGGAAUAAUUACCGUAUAUCCAUGAAAUGAAGAAUUGUCUCCAAAAAUAAACUUGCACUCAAAAACAUUGAGCAAGACCGGAAGCUUUGGAAUCAUUUGGAGUUCAGUGCAAGAAGUCAAUAGAAGUUCUUCAAGUUUUGUAAGGUUUUUUAAGCUCUCGGGUAGGUAAUGAAUUGGGUUUCUACUUAAAUUUAAGGAUUUCAAGGAAGCCAAGUUACAAAGAUCAUUGGGCAUGACAUCAUUAGAUAAUUUGCAACUUUCAAGGCUUAACUUUACCAAAGAGUCCGGUAGAGAUGCCCAAGAGAAACCCAAUCCUUUGCUUCUUUUCAGUAAGAGCCAAUGCAACCCCAAUCUUGAUUGAUAUAUGGCAGUUUCAUCUAAAUUAAGCACCUUCAAUGAUUCCAUAUUAUGCAACUCCCUAGGAACAUCAUCAAGUCUUGAACAACCAGAUAAGAUAAGCUCUUCAAGUGAUAUUAAUGAACCAAUUGUCCUUGGAAGUUUCCUAAGACUUGUGCAAUCUUUAAGGUUCAAGAAAGUAAGCAUCUUUAACUCACCAAUGGAUUGAUCAAUUUCCACCAAAUUUAUGCAAUAUUUGAGCAUCAACUUCUCAAGGCUAGGGAGUCCUGAAAAGCUUGGGGUUUUAAGAAGGCUAUGUGAAUGGUUGAGAUUAAGGAUCUUUAAAUUUGGGAGGCACUGCAAAAAAAGAAAGCCCUUCAUUAAUUAUAUAUUAUUGUUUCACACACACACAAAAAGGAGUAUUAGUAUAUAUCAUACCUCUGUAUCCUUCCAAACUUGUUUAAGUUUACUGUUGCGCAUGUCGAGAACAACUAGUUCAUUGAUAUCAAAAUCCACCGGAAAAGAUUGCAUCCAAAACCCAUGCCAACGUAACCAUCUUAAUCUUUUGGGAAAGUCUUUGAAGUCUCCUUAAGUCUUACAUAAUCCAGUUGAAGCAGUUUAAGUCUCUUCAUCUUUGCAAAUGCUUGAGUUUCCAUAUCAACAUCAUUUGCCAUCAGAAACUGACUUUUGGAAUGCUUUGGAAAAUGUAGAGUUGUAUUUGUCCUUUUAGCCUUGUCUUCUAGCAAUCUUUUUAGGUCAAGUGUGAGGCACUUAACUGUUCUGGAACCCUGCAUCAGAAAAACUUUUUUAAAAAAUAAAAAGAAAUUUGAUAAAAAAAAAGUAGAUUACAUGCACACAAGAAAAAAGUUGAGUAAAAUGAUGUUUCUUACAAUUUUUUCUCUUAUUACAUCAAAGGCGUUCUUAUGCCACAAUCUGCUUCGUUUCCCAAUAUUAGAAGAUUCUUGACGAAUAAUUUCUCGUCCCAUAUCUCUAAUCAUUUGGUGCAUCAUUAGCUUGUUUUUUUCAUUAAUGAUUAAGAGAGACCUGCCUACUAGAUUUUCAAUUCCAAUUGUUGUAUAGAAAUCACAACCAUCUAGAAUUGUAGUCGUGUAAUCUCUAUCCUUCCCAAUGAAUAAACAAACUAUGUCGAGGAAUAAAUUUUUAUCAUGAUCGUCUUCCAAAGAAUCAUAGCUUAUUCUUAGAAUCUCUUGAAUUUUGCUGUCAGGGAUUUCUUCCAAUUUCUCCAAUGCACUUUUCCAAGAACUCACACUUUUGCUAGAUAAUGAAGAGCCCAAAACUUGAAGAGCUAACGGAAGCCCACCACAGUGUUUCACUAAACUUCUUGCAUAUGCCAUUAAACUUUCAGGCACAGAGUUAUGACCAAAAGCAUACCAAUUAAAAAGUUGCAGCGAUUCACUUGAUGCUAAUUCUUUUACUUCAAAUAGCUUGCUUAAGCCUCCACAACUAGUUGAUGCUUCCAACUCAAACAUUUGGCUUAUAAAAUGUGCAUUCAAUAGGCAUCGGUUUCUACUAGUUAUGAUGAUUUUACUUCCCAAAUGAAAAGGUAUUUGAGUUCCCAUUAAUUUUCUUAUUUUUUCCAAUUCAUCAACAUCAUCAAGAACAAGAAGAACUCUUCUACAACAUACAAUUUCUUUGAUCUUGUUAAUUCCAUUAUCUAUAUUGUAUAUUUUAUAGUGUAUUUCCUUUAAGGAUAUCUGAAAUAAGUUGCCUUUGCAAACGGACUAAACCAUUGCAAUCUGGACUUGUUUCUCUAACAUCAGCAAGGAAACUAUAACCUUCAAACCUCGGGAUGUUUUGAUUGUAAACAACUUUGGCAAUGGUUGUCUUCCCAAUGCCGCCAAUGCCACAAAUAGUUGCAAUGCCAACUUUAUUUGCUCCAUCUUGUUCUAACCAUUGAUUAAUUUGUGUCACGAGAGAAUCUAUUCCAACUAAAUAAGGAGGGACAUACAAAGAAAUAAGAUGAAGUUUAUUUUGAACUUCUUUAACAAUAUCUUGAAUGAAUUGUGAUUCAUGCCUGCAAAUUUAAAAAAUACAACUCAAUGGUAAAAUUUUAGAAAUUAAGUAAAAGUUACUAAUGCAUUUUCUCUUUUCUUGCAUAUAUUUUGAUUGUUUUUAUGAGAUUAUAUGUUCAAAUAAAAAUAAGAAACUAAUGCAACAUUUCAACAUAUAUGAUAGAAUUAUUGCAUUCAAAAUCAAAUCAAAUCAAAUAAAGCAACAUAAAAAUUAAUGAAAUUCAUUUGAGAAACAACCUAUACUCUAAAUUUCAACUUUCUCUUUGUGAAAGUUUAAUAACAUGAAUUUAUAUAUUUAUUUUUUAUUCAUUGUAAUAUUUUGAAUAUGUGUAGACCCAUUACACGAAUAACUUAGAUAUAAUUGUUGCAAAUAUACUACUGCAAAAUAGAAUUGUUACAAGAGACCAAACUGAAUGUCAAUAAAAUAAGAAUCAUUGUGUCGUGAAAGAAUCACUGCAUUAGAGGCAAAUUCGCCUUGAUCGGUGUAAUCGUAUAGUGGACGUUACCCCCCAACAAAAUACUCCAAUAUUCGUACACCCGAAGGUGGAACAUGAUUAACAUUACUUUUCCCAAAAAAAAAGUUCAAUUCCCAAGAAAGAUUAAGGAGGUCACAAACAGUCUCGCUUAAAACCUAAUCUCUUAGACAAAAUUUCCCUCUCGUGUAAUUUUGCAGAACACUAGAAUUUAGAGAACAUAGAGAAGUUGUUUUUCUCUUGUUGUGUUAGGUGGGAGAAUGACCUCCUAUUUAUACUGUUUUUUGAUGGGCAAAAUGGUAAAAUAAUAGUUUUAAUUUCCAAAAAUAGUAAAUGAUUUUCCUAACUGAAAAUAUUCUAAAAAUAUUUUCUGCAACGAUUUUCUGCAAUUCAAAAUAUUCUUUUGCAUUAUCAACAAUGACAUCUUAGAAAACCACAAAUAGUGUCAUUAAAUUCAAGAGGCUAUUUCUUUUUGUUUUCAACUCGUCAAAUCCAAGUUGUUCAUGUGAUUUAAAAACAUCCCACAUUAGAUUCGAGCUAAUAUUUAAUGCUUAAGCUGAUGACUUGUUUGAUAGAAAGACCAUAUUCAUACAAUACUAAUAUUUUAAUGACUCAAUUAAAACAUGUUAAUGUUUCUGAGUUAUAAUUAACCCUUUAAAAUGGAUUGAUGUAACCAUUUUAAUUUCCAAACGCUACCUAACAAUAUUUUCUAUUAAUUUUAUUUCUACUCUAUCAAGUCUUAAUGAAAAGGAUUGAAGUAACCAUAUGGAAUUGGAUUAUGUGUAUAACGUACCUGUCUUGCAGAACCAUGCCUCCUAUAUCCGCAACUUCUUUUAAAGCAUUUCUCCAUCUUUGUACCAUGUUGGUUUCGGACUCGAAGUUUUGUUCAUGUUGGGUAAAUGCUUCUGCAUAACUUCCCGUCUGAUUCUUGACUUGACUCGGAUCCACAUCAUAGAAAACUGGCAACACACUAUGUUUAGAGGAUUUCUUGUGCUCCAAUAUCAUUACAAGUUCGUUAAGACACCAUGUGGAUGCAGCAUAAUUCUUUGAGAAAACAACGAUAGAAAUUUUGGAGUGAUGUAGUAUUGCUUUUUCAAUUUCAUCUUUUAUGUUAUUCCCUCUCUCGAUUUCCUCAUCAUCUCUAAAUGUUUGAAUUCCUAAGUGCACCAAAGCUGUGUAAAGAUGAUCCGUGAAACUUUUGCGCGUAUCUUCACCUCUAAAACUCAAGAAUACAUGAUAACUACAUCGCGAGAUUUCUGACAUUGCCAUUGAAGAAGAAAAUGAAGCCGUCCUGUANNNNNNNNNNNNNNNNNNNNNNNNNNNNNNNNNNNNNNNNNNNNNNNNNNNNNNNNNNNNNNNNNNNNNNNNNNNNNNNNNNNNNNNNNNNNNNNNNNNNCAAAGCAGAUAUUAUUAGCAGUCAAGUGGCAGUUCCCAAUCCAUGGUGGGUCAAUCCUUCCACCAGUUCAUACAACUGCCCGAAGAAAUUCAUGUCGGCCGUGUUGUUUUUUUCCAAAUCUACCAACUUGGGUUACGUAUUCUAUAUUAUUAAUUUUGCUUGACAAAUACAAUCUAUUGAUUAACUUGAUGGUUAUAGCUAACACAACACGUAAUAUAGACAUCAUCUUCAGGCUAAUAUUAGUAAAAAUACUAUGAAGGUUGUUGUAUUUUAAGUCAUACUAUAUUUUGUUUCCUCUACUUAAAAAAUAAUAAAUUAGUUAUUGUAUAUUAGAUUAGAAAGUAAACUAGUUCUUUUGUUAAAAAAUUUAUCCAUUGUUAUUGUUAAAAAUUAGUCCAUGUAAUAAACAUGAGGUACAUGUGACACGUCACAUGCAACUAUCUAAUUAUUUCGUCAUUCACGUUAGUUUUUAACAACAAAAAUGGAUGAAACUUUUAAUAAAAAUGAUAAAUUUAUUCUUUUAUCUAUGUAUAUGGACUAAUUUGCUUGUUUUUAAAUAAAAUGGGUUAAAUACAAUUUGACUCUCAAUAGAAUGAUCUCCAUGAUACUUUUACCGGCUAAUACCUUGGUGGAUACACUCAAUAAUUAAACCACAACCACAAUAUAUCACAUAGACAUCACAUUAAACAUUCAAGUUCAGUAUAGUAAAGAAACAAUUUUAGUAUCUAUGCAUGAAUGAAGAAUUAAUUGUUUUAGAAAAAGAAUUGGUGAUUAAAUUGAUCAGGUCGUCAAUUUUUUAUUUGAUUUAUUCGUGUUAUCUAAAGUAAAUAAAUUUUUAAAAAUUAAAAAAUAAUAAAAAUUCACGUAUAUUGCACGUUAAAGUAAAUUGAAAAUGAGAAUUGAGAGGGACAUAAGAGAAGGAGAAUAAUUCCGAAGUCAUGCUUAAGGAAAUUAGUGGCACUAGAAAACGCGUUUCAAUCGCUUUUCAUUUCGGAGUCAUGCUUACGGUCCAUUUGGUGCUCACCAUUUUUAUUAAAAAUAUUAUCUGAAUAGAGUUUUUCAACAGAGGUAGUAGAAAGGAAGGAAAACGUCAAAGUUGUACACUUUAAAAAAAUUAUAUUAUCAGACCUUAAACAAUGAUUUGUCGGCCUUAAAUUAGCAAUUAAAGAGGAUGGGAUAAGGGUAAGGUUGAGUAAUUGAUUCAAAAUUUCAUGCUGAGGGCAACUAGCACAAAAUUGUUUAAAUAUUUUCCAGUACUCAUUAAGGAUCUUCAUAUCCUUUUUGUGGUAUGGCAUAGAUUUCUUUCCUAAUUGAAGCACAAAGUGAAGAAAAAGAAAAUUCAACGAAUAUUCUUACCAUAUCUAUUUUAAAAUUUUAAUAUAAUUAAUGAAAAACAAUUCACAUAUAUGAAUCAUCAAAUUUGAGGUGCUUAGAGAAUCCCAUGUGAUGGCCUGAUGAUUAAGGUUGUUCAAAAUACAUGAAUGAUAAAAUUUAACGUGAUUAAAUAAAUAUUGAAUUUUGUUAUAUUUUUAAUAAUAAAUAUAGGUAAAAUGGUAAUAAAUUGGUAUUUUAAUGCCAUUAAAAACGUGUCAGAUAAAUAUUAGAUUAGAUAUUCAAUAUUAAUAAUCAAUAUAUAUUAAUUGAAUUAUACAUUAUAAUUAAGGAUGAGUGUCGAAAUUCAAAAUUGUAAAUAUUAAUAUAUAUUGAAUUAAAUUACUACCAUACAUAAUCUUAUUCAAAUAAUAAUAAUGAAAAAAAUGAGUGUUUAAGACAAUUUCGUUGUAUUUGUUUGUUCUAUGAUCCAACUAUAGUAGGUAAGCGUGGUGUAGGUUCAUCGUACUCCCAUCCAAUGGCUUUAAUUUGCUCUAAUGGAAUCGAAAAUGAAUCAAUCCUUUUAACUUCUUCUUCCUCUUCAUCAUCGAAAAUUGACUUUAUUUCCAAAAAAAAGUUUUGGAUCAAUUUUGGAGUUCCAAUCAAUAUCAUCUAUAUACAUAUCUGUUGCAUUACUUGGCAACUUAUUUGUGCAACGAAAACGAUGAUAACAUUCCCAGAAUCUAUGUUUGGCUUUCUAAAAAGCUUUUAAACCAGCUGAAUCAUCCCAUCAGAAUACUUUAUCGGUUUUCAACAAAUUAUUCUUUGAUUCAACAAAUCUUUUCCAUGGUAUUGCACCCACUUUUAUGCAGAAUUUUUUCUCCCAUGCUGGUAAUGGUUCCCAUGAAUUAUUGUUAUCAUUCGGUUUGGGACGAGUAAAUUUCUUUUUUUUAGUAACUUUGUUGGCGAUUAUGAUAUCUUCUUUGAUAGUAUGACACGAUUUCUUGUAAUCCAAACAAAUAAAGGAAUUGAAAUCGCUAAUGAUAUGGAUUUACAGCGAGGGGACUUGUUGGGUUUAUAUAUAAGAUUAUUAGAGUUGGUGGUGACUCAAUCCUUUUCCAACAAUUCUAAUUUCAGUUUGAUUAUUGAUGGGUGUCGAAUCCACCAAUAUAAACCUACACCUAAUUUUGCAAAUUUAAACAGUAUAAGGAGUAGGGUCGAUCCCUCAGAGACUGGGUUUACUGCAAAUUGUUGCUCUCUUGACCAGAUUUAUGUCGGGGCAGUUGUCGUGCCCAAGAAAUUUGGGGGAAGGAUAAAAUCGAAAACCUGGAACCUGAAAUAAAUAAAUAAAUAAAAUGAGUAAAAAGUAAAAGCUGCAAAUAAAUAAUAAAAGGCAGUUAAAUAAAUCUGAAGAAAAAUUAAUUAAAAUAAGCUCAGCUUUAGGCACGGAUUUUUCCUCGUCUUUGAACCAAUCCUCGAAAUUAGAUGAACUCCUCUUUUCCAAUAAGCUAGUUAUAGCUACCAAGGACGCCUCGGACACCAACUCUUCCUUGUGUAAAUUAGUUAUGGAACGUCCAAUAACUAACCCUUACCAAUCGAACAACCACGAAACGUUCGUGAUUUAGAACUUCUGCAGCUUUGCGUUCUAGAAGAGCCUAGCUCGAACCAAUGCCCUCAACCGCGUGGGNNNNNNNNNNNNNNNNNNNNNNNNNNNNNNNNNNNNNNNNNNNNNNNNNNNNNNNNNNNNNNNNNNNNNNNNNNNNNNNNNNNNNNNNNNNNNNNNNNNNNNNNNNNNNNNNNNNNNNNNNNNNNNNNNNNNNNNNNNNNNNNNNNNNNNNNNNNNNNNNNNGAUCUGACUUUGUGAGUUGACAAAAUCAUACUCUUAAUCCGAAGAAAUAAUAAGUACUGGAAUUUAGGGUGUGUAACUCACGGGUUUUGACGAGGCUAAUUCCGGCCUAAAGCUGAAAUGGAUACUUAAUAAAAAAAACUUGGUAAUAAAAAACUUGAUUAAUAACUUGAUUCAAGACUUGAUGAUAAAAUGAACAAAGUAGUCCACUAUUUAUACUAGUGGCUUUGCUAAAUUAAGAGCCAACUAGUAUAGAAAAUCAAGGAAUAAAAUAUUAAAAAUCCCUACAUAAUCUCCCACUAAGUCAACAAAAAUUUCAGCUAAUUAAUCUUGGAAAAAUUCUACUUUGGUCCUCCUUCUUUGCUUCUUUCUUCAAUCUAGCCCAAUUGUCUCAUUUUUCUUCUAUUUAGCCCCAAAUUGCACUCCUACACAAAAUUCAACAAAAACAUGGAAAAAUUAGUGUUGCACUCUCAUAAAUUAACCAAUUUAAUUACAUAAAAUAUGUAACUUUAGCAUUUAAACAAAUCCCCCUACUUAGCUUAUGCUAGUCCUCGAGCAUUUUGUAUGUAUCUACAAAAAGAAAAAAAAUUUCUCCAAAAUAGGGCUUGACCACCAUGAUUUGCACAAUUCAACAAUUUAAUCCUAGCACAUUAACAUCUCAAAUAACCUAGCCUAAGAAGUAAGUAAAUAUAUUUCAGAAUUUAUUAGAGCUUGAUAGACCUACCCCUAAUUUAUUUUUAUUUAUAAUAAUAAUAAUAAUUUUUUGUGUACUUAGGACAUUUUCGAAUUUUUUUUACGCGAGACAAGAUGACAACCCAAGCACCAUGUUCUGGUUACUCGAUUCGGAUGUCUCUAAGCGGGUUAUUUCGCCCUACUCGUGAUAGCUUGUUAACGGAGUGAGUGCAAAGAAAUUAUAUAGUCACACUUUGCGCGAGAUGUGAUGACAACCCAAGCACCACAUUCCGGUUACUCAGCCUGAUGUACAACCCCAAUAUUUCACUCUUAACAUUCGUAUCAGAUGAGUAUUUAUUCAUUUCUUCUUUUUUUCUCUUUUUUUUCUCUCUUUGUUUUUUUAAAGAAGAGAAGGAAAAAAAUUGAGAUGUGAUAUGAGGUAGGCAGUCAAGCAAACUCAUAAUUCCUAAAAAAAAAAAUCUUUCCCACUACGUCUAGCCUAUUGAAAAGUUUGUGUAAAGAACUAAAUAGCUAAAUAGGUCAAACCAUAAGUGUACCAUCCUAAUUUAUCAAAAGAAAAAUUUUACCUUUCACGAAAAAUAUGCAAAAACAACGACAACGAAUAAGCAAAAUAGAACUAAUAUAUGUUCCCUUCCCCCUACUUAUUUUAUAUUGUCCCUAAUGUAAUUUGAAUUGAAUUAAAUGAUAAAAAGUAAAGGUAAGUAGGGAAAGGAAAAAGAAACUCUCGAUGUAUUUCAACGUCGUGGAGGGUUGCCUAGUAGGUGUGUCCACGGUGUUAAAUGGUGGGUAGGUGGAUUGGGCCUUUGCUGAAAUUAAAAGAAUUUUGUAGGCUGACAUGGGGGAUUUAAUUUUGUCUUGGAAUGUCUCCCUGUUAUUCAAAUUUUGGGCUCCUCGAGAACAAUUGUAAGUGUUGCUAGUCCCCGGCAACGUCGCCAAAGCUGAUGGGUGUCGAGUCCACCAAUAUAAACCUACAUCUAAUUUUGAAAAUUCAAGCAGUAUAGGGAGUAGGGUCGAUCCCUCGAGACUGGGUUUACUGCAAAUUGUUGCUCUCUUGACCAGAUUUAUGUCGGGGCAGUUGUCGGGCCCAAGAAAUUUGGGGGAAGGAUAAAAUCGAAAACUUGGAACCUGAAAUAAAUAAAUAAAAUGCGUAAAAAGUAAAAGCUGCAAAUAAAUAAUAAAAGGCAAUUAAAUAAAUCUGAAGAAAAAUUAAUUAAAAUAAGCUCAGCUUUAGGCAUGGAUUUUUCCUCGUCUUUGAACCGAUCCUCAAAAUUAGAUGAACUCCUCUUUUCCAAUAAGCUAGUUAUAGCUACCAAGGACGCCUUGGACACCAACUCUUCCUUGUGUAAAUUAGUUAUGGAGCGUCCAAUAACUAACCCUUACCGAUCGAACAACCACGAAAUGUUUCGUGAUUUAGAACUCCUGCAGCUUUGCGUUCUAGAAGAGCCUAGCUCGAACCAAUGCCCUCAACCGCGUGGGACAUUUAAAUCCAGUUACUACUUCCCUUGACGGAACCAAACAGCAAUCUCCACUUGGCACGCCAAUGUGUUCACAGAAAACCGAUUGGAAACGUUCCUUUCGGAAUUCCAACUGUACGUCUAACCACACUAAAUCAAACGACGUCUUUUUUGACUUAAUGUUGAUCUGACUUUGUGAGUUGACAAAAUCAUACUCUUAAUCCGAAGAAAUAAUAAGUACUGGAAUUUAGGGUGUGUAACUCACGGGUUUUGUCGAGGCUAAUUCCGGCCUAAAGCUGAAAUGGAUACUUAAUAAAAAAAACUUGGUAAUAAAAAACUUGAUUAAUAACUUGAUUCAAGACUUGAUGAUAAAAUGAACAAAGUAGUCCACUAUUUAUACUAGUGGCUUUGCUAAAUUAAGAGCCAACUAGUAUAGAAAAUCAAGGAAUAAAAUAUUAAAAAUCCCUACAUAAUCUCCCACUAAGUCAACAAAAAUUUCAGCUAAUUAAUCUUGGAAAAAUUCUGCUUUGGUCCUCCUUCUUUGCUUCUUUCUUCAAUCUAGCCCAAUUGUCUCAUUUUUCUUCUAUUUAGCCCCAAAUUGCACUCCUACACAAAAUUCAACAAAAACAUGGAAAAAUUAGUGUUGCACUCUCAUAAAUUAACCAAUUUAAUUACAUAAAAUAUGUAACUUUAACAUUUAAUGAAUUAUGAUUUCUAUUUUCUAAAUAUUUGUAUAAUAAAAUUAUUAAAAAAUAAUUAUAUUUGUAUUGAUAAUAUUUUCUUAUUAAAUGAGUUUUAUAAGUUAAAUAGCAAUCAAACCAAGACUGGGAGACUGAACUGCAUUAGGUCUUGGGGGUGAUCCAUCGCUUCAACCACUAUCUACUAUCCACCAUCCACCAUCUACAUCCUUCCCCUAUAUAAACUCUGCAAAUAUAUAUAUAUAGAGAGAGAGAGAGAGCGACACACACACACACAAAUUAUGGAAGGCAGGAAAGUUAGAUAUCAAAUACGGUUGCAUGGUGGUUUCACAGCCGCUAUUUCAAAAUAGCUAAAGAUCUCAUUAGUUGUGUGAACAAAUUUCAUAUGUUCUUCGAAAUCCAAAGCAGAAAAAUCACAUACAGAGGCUGGGAUCAGAUAACUGAUACUCAUGUACAAAUUUAAGGGCUUCGAAUUUACCUCAUUUGAUCAGAGUCGUGGUGAGAUGCUCGUUUGGGACAAAGAUCCGUACGAAGAGAGAUGAGGGUAGGAAGGAGUUCUUAAAAAACACAAAGGGUUAAAAUCUUCUAUUAGUCCCUGUACUUUGUAAAAGUUGUGAAUUCAGUUCCUAUCUUUUAAUUUGAAUAAUUUCAGUCCCUUUACUUUUUGAAGUAGUAGUUACAUCCAUUAAGUUCAAUUACUAGUAUUGCACUACACGUAUGGUUGUAGGCUUAGUCUAUAUGCCCUAAUUGGAUCAUUCUAAGUCUCUAUACUUUUUAAAUUUUAAAAUUUUAAUCUCGAUGUAAAUGAUAGUUAUUAAUCAAUUAAUUAGAUUUUUAGUGAGUAAUAUGCGAAAAUAAAAAAAGCUAACAUGACAUUAUACAUAGGAUAAUAUGUAGAUUUGGAUUUGGAUCUUUGGGAACAUGUAGAAGAGGAUUACGAGGUCCCACCACUUCCAGCAAAUCCUACUGUGGCACAGAUUAAAGCACAAAAGGAAAAGAAAACAAGGAAAUCAAAGGCAAAAUCUUGCUUAUUUGCAGCUGUGUCUCAAAUGAUUUUUACACGAAUAAUGUCUCUGAAAUCAGCAAAGGAAAUUUAGGAUUACCUCAAGGCUGAGUAUGAAGGAGAUGAGAGGAUUCGUAGAAUGAAAGUCCAGAAUCUAAUCAGGGAUUUCGAGUUGCAGAAGAUAAAGGAGUCUGAGUCAGUGAAAGAAUAUUCUGACAGACUUCUCAGUAUUGCCAACAAGGUGAGAUUGCUUAGUUCUGAGUUGAACGACUCUAGAAUCGUAGAAAAGCUACUGGUCACUGUUCCAAAGAAGUUUGAAGCCACCAUUACUACUCUGGAGAACACCAAGGACAUGUGUCAAAGAUCUCUCUUGCAGAGCUCUUGAAUGCUUUACAAGCACAAGAGCAAAGAAGAUCCAUGAGGCAAGAGGGAGUGAUAGAAGGGGCCUUACCUGUCAAGCAUCAAGACAAUAAUAGGUAUAAAAAGAAGAAAAAUUUUAAGAACCAGUCGACGAGCGGAGAAAAUUCAUCAGGCAAUUAUCAGAAGAGCAAAAGAGGAGGUGUCAAGAAAUCCUACCCACCUUGUCACCAUUGUGAGAAGAAAAGUCAUCCACCAUUCAAAUGUUGGAAAAGACCUGACGCCAAAUGCUCCAAAUGCAAUCAACUUGGACAUGAAGCAGUGAUUUGCAAGGUCAAAGGCCAGGUGCAAGAACUAGAUGCACAGGUAGCUGAUCAAUAAGAAGAAGAUCAAUUGUUCGUGGUUACUUGUUUCUCAGGCAGAGAAUCAAGUGAGAGCUGGUUGAUUGAUAGUGGGUGCACAAAUCACAUGACGUAUGACAAUGAGCUCUUCGAGGAAUUGAGAACACUGAAGUCAAAAGAGUGAGGAUUAGAAAUGGUGAGUACUUGGAAGUCAAGGGAAAAGGCAUAGUAGCUAUUACAAGCUAUGAAGGUACAAAAUUCUUUUCAGAUGUUUUGUUUUUACCUAAAAUUGAUCAAAAUCUCUUAAGUGUUGGUCAGUUGCUGCUGGAUAAAGGCUAUAAAGUGCUAUUUGAAAAUAAGCAGUGCUUGAUCAGAGAUGCUAAUGGCAGAGACUUGUUCAAUGUCAAAAUGAAAUGAAAAGUUUUGCUCUUAAUCCAAUGGAAAAGGAGCAAAUGGCUUUUAAAUCCAGAGUUAGUGCUACUGAGACUUGGCACAAGAGACUUGGGCACUUUCACCAUCAAGGAUUGCUUUAAAUGUAGUCGAAGAAGCUGGUGGAAGGACUUACAGACAUUGAUGAUGAUCUACCUCAUUGUCGAGCUUGCAAAUUUGGGAAACAACAUAGACAACCCUUUCCUAAACAAGCCUGGAGAGCCUCGAAGAAGUUACAACUUGUUCAUACUAAUCUUUGUGGUCCUCAGAGAACGCCUUCGUUAAAUGGUAGCCUCUAUUACAUAGAAUUUAUUGAUGAUAUAACAAGAAUGUGUUGGAUUUUUUUGUUGAAACAAAAAUUAGAAGUUGUUGGUGUGUUCUAGAAAUUCAAAGCUGGAGUUGAGAACGAAAGUGGAUGCAUGAUUCAGAUUUUAAGAUCUGAUAAUGGCAAGGAGUACACUUCAGAAACUUUUAAUAGUUUUUGUGAAGAGGCUGGAAUUGAGCAUCAGUUGACGGCGCCAUACACUCUACAACAAAAUGAAGUCAGUGAAAGGAGGAAUAGAUUCAUAAUGGAGAUGACUCGAUGUAUGCUUCAUGAGAAGAAUCUUCCAAAAGGAUUUUGGGGAGAAGCUGCAAACGCUGCUGUGUUCUUGCAAAAUCAGAUUUCAACAAAAGCUGUGAAGGAUCAGACGCCAUUUGAAGCUUGGUAUGGUUACAAACCCUCUUUAAAGUUUCUUAGAGUGUUUGGCUGCCUGUGUUUCACUUACAUUCCAUAGGUCAAGCAUGAUAAGCUUGACAAAAAGGCAGAAGCUGGCAUUUUUGUUGGGUAUAGCAUUGUAUCUAAAGCUUACAGAGUCUUUCAACCACACACUGGACGUGUUACUGUGAGCAGAGAUGUUUAUUUUGUUGAAAAUAAGCAAUGGAAUUGGGAAGACUCGACCAAGGUGAACCAAACUUAUAGUGUACCAAAUCGUUUUACCAUUGGCAGCAUGUUAGAAGAGCUUGAAGAUGAAGGGCAAGAUGUUUUGGCUGAUGAUGCACCUGUCAGAGGUACAAGGCUGCUCUCAGACAUUUACCAAAGAUGUAAUAUGGCUAUUUGUGAGCCUGCAGGGUAUGAUGAUGCAAAAAAACAGUCAACAUUGGAUGACUGCAAUGAAGGAGGAGCUUGCGAUGAUCGAAAAAAACAAAACUUGGAAGUUGGUUGAUCGACCUCUGGACAAAAAGAUAAUUGGAGUUUGCAACAUCUAAACAAGGAGUGUUAAGAUCAUGUGUUUAAGAUUGCUGCCAUUUAAUUUUUUCUGUUACUAAAUUUGAAUAAUUCUCCUUGACUUUAGGAGAUUAGAUUUUUGAUUUGUUUGCUAUUUUGUUACCAAAUUUUUAGCAGUUUUUUAGAACCUUUUUUUCUAUUUUUAGCUUGAACUUUUGUAUUUAAAUAGUUGAGGUGCAAAUCAAUUAUUUAUUCAAGUCUUCAAUUAUUUUUCUAUUUAAAAACUUCCCGUCUCUUCUUUCUACUUCAAAUCUCUCGAUCAACCAUCAAAGUUCGAGUUCUAAACAUCAACAGUAUCUUUAAUUAUAUAGCAACAACUCUGAUAAGAUACAGAUAGAAACUUUUGUCUAUUAAAUAUAUAAAGUGACUAUGCAAUUGAUAAUCAUAUACAAUAAUCAACAUUUGACUAAACUUUGCAACCUAUACAAGUUUUUUUGGGAUUUCGACAAAAUAUAAACAUAAACCCCGAGAAGAUACGUAAAACAUUUACUCAUCCAUGGCAACUGACUGAAAAAAUUUGGGUUGUCAUCUUGCUCAUAAUCAUAUACAAGGUCAAUACCAAAUUCUAGCACAGAUAAAUCUGAAAGAACCCGAAGACUAAUAUGAUCACCAGCUUCUAAUUCAUCACCCCUAAAGUUCCAACAAGUCGUCCAGUAUAAGGUAUUCUUAGUUUCAGGAAUUCCCAUAAAAUGUUUGGAGUAGGUCCACUUUGUACCUUUGGUCUCGUUCACAAUUUCAAGGCAUGGUAAAAAUCCAUAUGUUUUAUCAUUCUUGGCAGAAAAAAUGAUAAUCGAAUUUAAGAAGCAACUUAUCUUUCGACUAGAUUUUGGGGGCACUGAUAUUGAAAUCUCAGUCUUGCCAGCUUGAUGGCCAAAGUAAUGACCAUGGUAAUCAAAUGGCAACGGAUCAAAUGUUGUAAUUAUACCGUAAUCAUAUAAUACCUGUAGCAUUGGGUUAGAGAAUGAGUUAUUAAAAAGUAUAUAGUAUAUAAAUAAUUUUAAAAACUUGGAACUUGUAAAGGGAACCUGUGGGGAAGCUACCACUUUUGAUUCUUCUAUAUAACUGCAAAGUUGCACUUUAACAUUUCCAUAAGAUUCCAAACUGGGCAAGUGUUUAGUUAGGUCCAUCUUGAUAUUUCUUGUGGAAACUUCAUCUCCUAAAAUAUGUACAAUAAUGUGUUAUUUAUCAAUUUUAGUGAUCAUCAACAUAAUAUACUUAUUAGAAAGUAAUAGUACUGACUUGAAUGGAGUGAUAAUUAAAGCUUUUAUCAGACACCUAUUUGACACGAAUUCAAAUAGUGACCCAUAUAUUGUAUGAAAAAAAGAUAUCAAAGUAGUAAUGUUAUUAUCACUAAAAUGUAUUCUAAGACUUAUCAGAAAUAAUCAGUUAUACACAUUAUAUCUUUAUUUUUCAUUUUUAUACAAAAUAUAAACUUUAAAACUAUUAAAUAUUUUAAUCAAAACACCACUUUUAUAAUUUUAUCCAUUAUUUUAGUUUCCACUUCUAUUAGAACUAUUGGAUUAAUCAUUUAUCAAACAAUUAACUUAUUUUCAUUAGACCCCAAUUGCAGUAUAACUUUAUAAUUAUCAUUUUAUUAUUAAGCUAAAUUUCUCUCAUAAUCUAUUAAAUUGUCACAUUUCUUGAUAAUUUUUUUUAUUGUAUUAGAAAGUCUUUUAGAGAAACAUUCAUCAUUUCUUGAACAUUUGUUAUUCACAUAGAAAAUGAAAAAUAAAAUAAAUAUAAUAGGAUGUAUUCACUAAAAUAUAAUUAUUUGAAGUCCACUCAUACCUGUAGAUAAGUGCGAAAAGCCAUAUUCAUAUCUAAUGUUGUGUUCUGAUUCAUAAGUAACGCCAAAUUUUCUUAUGCUGAGAUGAAUAGGCACUACCAUGCAACUCACAAGGUCACCACCUUCAAACUGACAGUCCGUUACUGGCCAAUGAAUCAACCACAACAUUGUGUUAUCGUUAGUCUCAGGAAUUCCAAUGAAACUUGAGCGAUAUCUCUGCAUGAUCAUUUUGGUCUCAUUGAAAAUGUGGACACUUGGUAGAAGCUCCAACAUUUGGUCACUAGCUACAGAGAAAACAAUGCAUAAGCUGAACUGAUGGAUCUUUUCAUCUGGAUGAGAUGGUGUUGGCAAAAAAAAAGAGAUUUGAUGCUCGUUAGUGCCAUGCUUAAACCCACUCGGAACUUCACUUCCUAUAAAAAAUGUGCUUGUUAUACCACAUUCUUGCAAGACCUGAUCCAAAAAAACAAGUUAGAUGAUUAAGUAGUGUAAGAGAAAAAAUAGAUUUAAAAUUUAAGUUGGAGAACUAUUGGACCUGUGGGGUAGCUAGCAUUAUGCUGUCUGUUAGGUAGCUAUAAAGUGGCAGUCGAUUUCUGUUAAUGGAAUCUACGUUGAAUAAUCUUCUAAUCUCUUCUGCUUCAAAGUUUUCAAUUGGUUCCAACUUGAAUAGAUCUUCAACCUCCGUCAAUUUUUCACAUCCAAAAAUAUCACAUCGUGUGGAAGAAAAGAAGCAUGGAAGAAUUGCCCCAUAUCCUUUAAAUGGAGAUACUGUCAAGAACUCAAAAACAUUGGGCAAGACUGGAAGCUUUGGAAUCUUUUGGAGUUCAGUGCAAGAAGUCAGUAGAAGCUCAUCAAGUUUUGUAAGGUUUUUUAAGCUUUCGGGUAGGUAAUGAAUUGGGUUUCUACUUAAAUUUAAGGAUUUCAAGGAAGCCAAGUUACAAAGAGCAUUGGGCAUGACAUCAUUAGAUAAUUUGCAACUUCCAAGGCUUAACUUUACCAAAGAGCCCGGUAGAGAUGCCCAAGAGAAACCCAAUCCUUUGCUUCUUUUCUGUAAAAGCCACUGCAACCCCAAUCUUGAUUGAUAUAUGGCAGUUUCAUCUAAAUUAAGCACCUUCAAUGAUUCCAUAUUAUGCAACUCCCUAGGAACAUCAUCAAGUCUUGAACAACCAGAUAAGAUAAGCUCUUCAAGUGAUAUUAAUGAACCAAUUGUCCUUGGAAGUUUCCUAAGACUUGUGCAAUCUUUAAGGUUCAAGAAAGUAAGCAUCUUUAGCUCACCAAUGGAUUGAUCAACUUCCACCAAAUUUAUGCAAUCUUUGAGCAUCAACUUCUCAAGGCUAGGGAGUCCUGAAAAGGUUGGGGUUUUAAGAAGGCUAUGUGAAUGGUUGAGAUUAAGGAUCUUUAAAUUUGGGAGACACUGCAAAAAAAGAAAAACCCUUCUGUUAUAAAUGUAUUAUUGUUUCACACACACACAAAGAAGAAGGGAAAAGUAGUAUACAUCAUACCUCUGUAUCCUUCCAAACUUGUUUAAGUUUACUGUUGCGCAUGUCGAGAACAACUAGUUCAUUGAUAUCAAAAUCCACCGGAAAAGAUUGCAUCCAAAACCCAUGCCAACGUAACCAUCUUAAUCUUUUGGGGAAGUCUUUGAAGUCUCCUUUAAGUCUUACAUAAUCCAGUUGAAGCAGUUUAAGUCUCUUCAUCUUUGCAAAUGCUUGAGUUUCCAUAUCAACAUCAUUUGCCAUCAGAAACUGACUUUUGGAAUGCUUUGGAAAAUGUAGAGUUGUAUUUGUCCUUUUAGCCUUGUCUNNNNNNNNNNNNNNNNNNNNNNNNNNNNNNNNNNNNNNNNNNNNNNNNNNNNNNNNNNNNNNNNNNNNNNNNNNNNNNNNNNNNNNNNNNNNNNNNNNNNAGGCACUUAACUGUUCUGGAACCCUGCAUCAGAAAAACUUUUUUAAAAAAUAAAAAGAAAUUUGAUAAAAAAAGUAGUUUACAUGCACACAAGAAAAAAGUUGAGUAAAAUGAUGUUUCUUACAAUUUUUUCUCUUAUUACAUCAAACGCGUUCUUAUGCCACAAUCUGCUUCGUUUCCCAAUAUCAGAAGAUUCUUGACGAAUAAUUUCUCGUCCCAUAUCUCUAAUCAUUUGGUGCAUCAUUAGCUUAUUUUUUUCAUUAAUGAUUAAGAGAGACCUACCUACUAGAUUUUCAAUUCCAAUUGUUGUAUAAUAAUCACAACCAUCUAAAAUUGUAGUCAUGUAAUCUCUAUCCUUCCCAAUGAAUAAACAAACUAUGUCAAGGAAAAAAUUUUUGUCAUGAUCGUCUUCCAAAGAAUCAUAGCUUAUUCUUAGAAUCUCUUGAAUUUUGCUGUCAGGGAUUUCUUCCAAUUUCUCCAAUGCACUUUUCCAAGAACUCACACUUUUGCUAGAUAAUGAAGAGCCCAAAACUUGAAGAGCUAACGGAAGCCCACCACAGUGUUUCACUAAACUUCUUGCAUAUGCCAUCGAACUUUCAGGCACAGAGUUAUGACCAAAAGCAUACCAAUUAAAAAGUUGUAGCGAUUCACUUGAAGCUAAUUCUUUUACUUCAAAUAGCUUGCUUAAGCCUCCACAGCUAGUUGAUGCUUCCAAAUCAAACAUUUGGCUUAUAAAAUGUGCAUUCAAUAGGCAUCGGUUUCUACUAGUUAUGAUGAUUUUACUUCCCGGAUGAAAAGGAAUUUCGAGUUCCCAUUAAUUUUCUUAUUNNNNNNNNNNNNNNNNNNNNNNNNNNNNNNNNNNNNNNNNNNNNNNNNNNNNNNNNNNNNNNNNNNNNNNNNNNNNNNNNNNNNNNNNNNNNNNNNNNNNNNNNNNNNNNNNNNNNNNNNNNNNNNNNNNNNNNNNNNNNNNNNNNNACUAAACCAUUGCAAUCUUGACUUGUUUCUCUAACAUCAGCAAGGAAACUAUAACUUUCAAACCUCGGGAUGUUUUGAUUGUAAACAACUUUGGCAAUGGUUGUCUUCCCAAUGCCUCCAAUGCCACAAAUAGUUGCAAUGCCAACUUUAUUUGCUCCAUCUUGUUCUAACCAUUGAUUAAUUUGUGUCACGAGAGAAUCUAUUCCAACUAAAUAAGGAGGGACAUAUAAAGAAAUAAGAUGAAGCUUAUUUUGAACUUCUUUAACAAUAUCUUGAAUGAAUUGUGAUUCAUGCCUGCAAAUUUAAAAAAUACAACUCGAUGGUAAAAUCUUGGAAAGUGAGUAAAAGUUAUUAAUGUAUUUUCUCUUUUUUUGCAUAUAUUUUGAUUGUUUUUAUGAGAUUAUAUGUUCAAAUAAAAAUAAGAAACUAAUGCAACAUUUUAACAUAUAUGAUAGAAUUAUUACAUUCAAAAUCAAAUCAAAUCAAAUAAAGAACAUAAAAAUUAAUGAAAUUCAUUUGAAACAACCUAUACUCAAAAUUUCAACUUUCUCUUUGUGAAAGUUUAAUAAAUUCAUGUUAUUUACAUGAAUUUAUAUAUUUAUUUUUUAUUCAUUUUAAUAUUUUGAAUAUGUGUAGACCUAUUACACGAAUAAUUUGGAUAUGAUUGUUGGAAAUAUACUACUGCAAAAUAGAAUUGUUACAGGAGACCAAACUGAAUGUAAAUAAAAUAAGAAUCACUCUGUCGUAGAAGAACCAUUGCAUUAGAGGCAAAAUGGCCCUGAUCGGUGUAAUCUCGCUUAAAACCUAAUCUCUUAGACAGAAUUUCCCUCUCGUAUAAUUUUGCAGAACACUAGAAUUUAGAGAACAUAGAGAAGUUGCUUUUCUCUUGUUGUGUUCUGUGAAAAAUGAGGAGAAUGACCUCCUAUUUAUACAGUUUUUUGAAGGGCAAAAUGGUAAAAUAAUCGUUUUAGUUUCCAAAAAUAGUAGAGGAUUUCCCUAACUGAAAAUAUUCUGAAAUAUAUUUUCUGCAACAGUGAGAGUAUUUUCCACAAUUGAAAAUAUUCUUUUGCAUUACCAACAAUGACAUCUUAACCACAAAUAGUGUCAUUAAUUUCAAGAGGCUACUUCUUUUUGUUUUCAACUCGUCAAAUCUAAGUUGCUCAUGUGAUAGGUGCAUACGUAUUUAAAAUUUGAUUUAUGUGUUUUAAAAACAUUCCACAUCAGAUUCGAGCUAACAUUUAAUGCUUAAACUGAUGACUUGUUUGAUAGACAGACCUUAUUGAUACAAUACUAAUACUUUAAUGACCCAAUUAAAACAUGUUAAUUUUUGAGAAAUAAUUUAAAACUUGAGUUAUAAUUAACCCUUUAAAAUGGAUUGAAGUAACCAUUUUAAUUUCCAAACGCUACCUAACAAUAUUUUCUAUUAAUUUUCUUUCUACUCUAUCAAGUCUUAAUGAAAAGGNNNNNNNNNNNNNNNNNNNNNNNNNNNNNNNNNNNNNNNNNNNNNNNNNNNNNNNNNNNNNNNNNNNNNNNNNNNNNNNNNNNNNNNNNNNNNNNNNNNNNNNNNNNNNNNNNNNNNNNNNNNNNNNNNNNNNNNNNNNNNNNNNNNNNNNNNNNNNNNNNNNNNNNNNNNNNNNNNNNNNNNNNNNNNNNNNNNNNNNNNNNNNNNNNNNNNNNNNNNNNNNNNNNNNNNNNNNNNNNNNNNNNNNNNNNNNNNNNNNNNNNNNNNNNNNNNNNNNNNNNNNNNNNNNNNNNNNNNNNNNNNNNNNNNNNNNNNNNNNNNNNNNNNNNNNNNNNNNNNNNNNNNNNNNNNNNNNNNNNNNNNNNNNNNNNNNNNNNNNNNNNNNNNNNNNNNNNNNNNNNNNNNNNNNNNNNNNNNNNNNNNNNNNNNNNNNNNNNNNNNNNNNNNNNNNCACCUCUAAAACUCAAGAAUACAUGAUAACUACAUCGCGAGAUUUCUGACAUUGCCAUUGAAGAAGAAAAUGAAGUCGUCCUGUGUUUAAUAACAAGGUUCCAGCAUAUCCAGCAUAUAUAUAUAUAUAUGAAUGGCAAAGCAGAUAUUAUUAGCAGUCAAGUGGCAGUUCCCAAUCCAUGGUGGGUCAAUCCUUCGACCAGUUCAUACAACUGCCCGAAGACAUUCAAGUCGGCCAUGUUGUGUUUUUCCAAAUCUACCAACUUGGGUUACGUAUUCUAUAUUAUUAAUUUUGCUUGACAAAUACAAUGUAUUGAUUAACUUGAUGGUUAUAGCUAACACAACACGUAUAUAGACAUCAUCUUCAGGCUAAUAUUAGUAAAAAUAUUAUGAAGGUUCUUGUAUUUUAAGUCAUAUUAUAUUUUGUUUUCUCUACUUAAAAAAUAUUAAAUUAAUUUUUGUAUAUUAUAUUAAAAAGUAAAUUAGUUCAUUUGUUAAAAAAAUUAUCUAUUGUUAUUGUUAAAAAUUGAUCUAUGUAAUCAACAUGAGGUAUAUGUGACACGCCACAUGCAACUAUCUGAUUAUUUCAUCAUUCAAUUUAGUUUUUAACAACAAAAAUGAAUGAAAUUUUUAAUAAAAAUGAUAAAUUUGUUCUUUUAUAUAAUGUAUAUGGACUAAUUUACUUGUUUUUAAAUAAAAUGGGUUAAGUACAAUUUGACUCUCAAUAGAAUGAUCUCCAUGAUACUUUUACCGGCUAAUACCUUGGUGGAUACACUCAAUAAUUAAACCACAACCACAUAUAUCACAUAGACAUCACAUUAAACAUUCAAGCUUGGUAUAGUAAAGAGACAAUUUUAGUAUCUAUGCAUGAAUGAAGAAUUAAUUAUUUUUGGAAAAGAAUUGGUGAUUAAAUUGAUCAGAUCAUCAAUUUUUUAUUUGAUUUGUUCGUGUUAUCUAAAAUAAAUAAAUUUUUAAAGACUAAAAAAAUAAUAAAAAUUCACUUAUAUUGCACAUUAAAGUAAAUUGAAAAUGUGGAAAUUUAGCGAGGGACAUAAGAGAAGAAGAAUAAUUCCGAAGUAUUUGGUGUGGAAAAUAUUGGUNNNNNNNNNNNNNNNNNNNNNNNNNNNNNNNNNNNNNNNNNNNNNNNNNNNNNNNNNNNNNNNNNNNNNNNNNNNNNNNNNNNNNNNNNNNNNNNNNNNNNNNNNNNNNNNNNNNNNNNNNNNNNNNNNNNNNNNNNNNNNNNNNNNNNNNNNNNNNNNNNNNNNNNNNNNNNNNNNNNNNNNNNNNNNNNNNNNNNNNNNNNNNNNNNNNNNNNNNNNNNNNNNNNNNNNNNNNNNNNNNNNNNNNNNNNNNNNNNNNNNNNNNNNNNNNNNNNNNNNNNNNNNNNNNNNNNNNNNNNNNNNNNNNNNNNNNNNNNNNNNNNNNNNNNNNNNNNNNNNNNNNNNNNNNNNNNNNNNNNNNNNNNNNNNNNNNNNNNNNNNNNNNNNNNNNNNNNNNNNNNNNNNNNNNNNNNNNNNNNNNNNNNNAUUACCAUUAGCAAUUAAAGAGGGGCUUCAACAAAAUUAUGGCCCCAACUGUUUCACCUAACAUAAUAAAUUCGUGGACUAACCAAUUUCAGUGCAAUAAAAGUAGUGAAGAGGAUGGGAUAAGGUUAAGGUUUACAUUGUUGGUAAUGCAAACUAGAAUCCCUCGUUACAGCCUUCAAAUUUUUUGGUUCACAAUAUUUUAGGAAGAACUAGAUUCAAAUAAUAUUUUUCCGUGAUUAUUUUUUCAAUAAUAUCAUCUUUAAAGUUUAGAUCUAUACUUUUUAAAAAAGUAUAAUAUGUCUUACCAUUAUGUCUAACACUCAAAUAAUAAUGUUAACAAAAAGGUUGAGCACCAAAUGGUUGAUAAGUACUAACAAGCUCAUGGUCUAAAGUAGAGGUGUCCAUGGGCCGGGCGGCCCGACCUUGCCCGACCGCCCGCCCAAAAUAUGGGAGGGUUCGGGUAAAAAUAUAGGCCCCAAAUAUGGGUUUGGGCAAACGAGGCCCGUUUAGAAAAUGGGCCGGGCCACGGGUAUCUCUUUUUGGCCUAGGCCCGUCUCGGCCUGAAUAUAAUAAAUAUAUUUUUUAUUUUUUUAUUUUAAAAUAUUUUUAAAAUACUUUUUUUAUUUUUUAUUUUUAAAAUAAAUUUUUUGUGUUUAUUAAAAAAGGGCCAGGGCGGGCUCGGGCUUAGAAUUUUUUUCCCAGCCCGGGCCUGGACAAAUUUUCAUGCCCAUAUUUUGGGUCGGGCCUGGCCCGGGCCUAGGAUGCAGCCCGAAUUUUUUUCUGGACUCGACCUGAACCCGGCCCGGUCCAUGGACACCUCUAGUCUAAAGUCUAGAUCGAGUAGCACUAUUAUCCAAAACAUAGUGAAACAGAUUAAUUCUUUCUUCGACGUUUGUUAUAUAGAACUCUACAACCUAGUGCUCCUAAUUAUCAAUUUUAUUCUUGUGACUCCAUAAUUAAAAUUUAGCUGAUCCCUUCAUUCAAGAGUGUAAUUAUUCGAAUAGGAUCAUGUCUCUUUUAUGGUGGAACACUAAUUCAUUUUAUUACUUGGACUUGUUCAUAAAAAUUCUCUUAAAAUAUCGAAUAAAUAUCAGUUAGGUGUUCUGAUGAUUUAAAUAUUUAGUUUUUAAGAGAAUAUAUUCUUACCUCGUUAUGCCUUCUCGAAGAUUUAUGUCAAAUUCAAACUGAUGUGAGUUGGCAGCUAUAUAUUUUUAUUUUUAAGGAUUUUAGUCCCUCUAUUUUUUGAGAUUUCUAAACUCAAAUCCAAUUGUUAACACUGUUAAUUUUUUUUGUUAAAUUUGAGUUAAUUACAAUAUCAUUUUUGUAAUUACAUGGUUAUCAAAUAGGUUUUUUUUUAUUUCAAAAUGCCACCCUAACACAUUUAACAAAAAAAAUUUAAAAUGUUAACCAUCAGAAAGUAAAGAGACUAAAUUUCUGGAAAUAAAAGUACGUGUUCUAAACUCCAAAAUUUUUAAAAGUACAAGAACUUAUGGCAUAUUUUAACCUUUUAACUUCUGGGUCGAGCUACUCAUCCAAUCCCCGCUUGAGAUUUGGGAAGAUUUAGACAAAAUUAUCAAGCUCAAAAAAUGGACUUGGACAAAAAGUUAGUCCGAUUUAAAAUACGAGUGGGGCUCGGGCAUAAAAAUUCAAGGCCCGAGCCAUUUACUAAUUUUCUAAUAUAUUAUAUUAUGUUAUUUUUAUAAAUUAUAUAAUUUAUUUCAAAAAAUAAAUCUAUAGUAAUACAUAUGAUAGUACUAUAAUGUAAACAUUAAAAAAUGUUAAGAUGUCUAUAUAAAAUGUUAAGAUAUUUGGGAAAAAAUUCAAUUCAAUCAGGCUCAAAACAAUUUGUGGGUCAAUUAAUUUAACAUCUCUAUUCAAAUCAACAAUGGCAAAACCUAAUAGAGGCCCAGGGGGCCAUGGCACCCCCAAGGAUUAAAUUUUUUGCAAUUUAGCCCUUUGUAGAUAUACUAUGGCCCUCCCAAACAUAUAAGUAGCCCCCCCCCCAAGGUUUAAGAUUUUUGCAAUUUAAUUUCCAAAUAUACUGCUUCUUUUGGAUUGAUUAUCAUGUUGGAAUAGUGCUUCUUUUGAGUCGAUUCUUUGUAUGUUUAAAUCGAUUGUCAAAUUAGAACACUACUUCUUUUGAAUCGAUUGUGUAUAUGAUUAAAUUGAUUGUUAUGUUGGAAUACUGCUUCUUUUUAAUUGAUUGUGUAUAUGAUUAAAUUGAUUGUUAUGUUGGAAUACUACUUCUCUUGAAUCGAUUGUUUAUAUGUUUAAAUCGAUUGUUACAUAACACAUCUAAUUAAUUUGUUCUUUGCUUCUUUGAUUGUUGCGUAGCAUUUCCUUUUAUUCUCUACUUCUUUGAUUGUUGGUUGUUUUAAAUAGCUUCUUUUCCUAAAAUGAUAAGGGACCAAAUGAAUAUCAGCAAAGAAUUUAUGUUGGAGUUUGAAUCGAUUCUUCGCUUAUUUCAAUUGAUUGUUUGUUGUUUUGAAUUAAUUCAUUAUUGUUUGAAUUGAUUCAAACUCCUACAUAAAUUCACUAUUGAUAUUCAUUUGGUCCCUUAUCAAUAUUAACUUACACAGAUGUGUGUAAGUUCUUUUUCCCUCAAACCUCCUGUUGAACGUGUGAAGCAAGCAAAGGUAUAUUUAUGGUUAUUCUUACUCUAGAAGAGAAAUGAUUCCUCAUACUUUAUACAGUGUAUUUACAUAUUUGCCCUCAACCGAAUAUUGAGGGAAUCUCCCUUCACUUUUGACACGUUCAAUAGAAAGUUUAAGGGAAAACAACUAAUUUACACCGGUGUAUAUAAGUAUUGAUAACUCUUUGAUACAAUAGAUUAAAUCGAAAAAUCAUUAUAUAGUAUUUUCCUAUACUAUGUGUUAUGUUUAUUAAUAAAACAUAUUUUUAAUUUAAAUGAUAUACUAAAAAUUGCUCAUCCACACAAUCAUUGAUAUGUUGAUUUAGGAUCCAAACUUGAAUCAUAUAUUCUUACGUAGUGAAACUAAAAAAGGCCUCGUCGCCAUUCUCCAUCUAUUCCUAUAUAUUCAUCUGUUCGGAAGAAACUGAACUUAACAAAACACCAUGAAAGCAUAAUCGAUAUUUUUUCACUUUUAAGAAAUAUAAGUUGUUAAUAAUAUCAAACCCAAUAAUACAAUAUAUCAACAAUCAAACCAAAUCAACGACCAUACCACAAGCAAAAACAUAAAAUCAAUUCAUUUGGAAGGGUCUUCCACCUCAUUAUGUGCAUGAUUUUCAUACGAAUCCAGUUGCAAAGUAACGGUGUUUAACACUUUGAAUCGAUUCAAACUCCAACAUAAAUUUACUAUUGAUAUUCAUUUGGUCAUUUAUCAAUACUUGCACAACAUUUGUCCCUUAUCAAUACUUGCACAAAAAUAACUUGUGAAUACUGCUUUUUUCGAAUAGAUUGUUUGUAUGUUUAAAUUGAUUGUCAUGUUGGAAUAUUGCUUCUUUUGAAUCGAUUGUUAUGGUGGAAUACUACUUCUUCUUUUUAAUCGAUUGUUUAUAUGUUUAAAUCGAUUGUUAUGUUGGAAUAUUGUUGCUUUUGAAUCAACUGUUUAUAUGUUCAAAUUGGUUGUUAUGUUGGAAUACUACUUCUUUUGAAUCGAUUGUUUAUAUGUUUAGAUCAAUUGUUACGUAGCGCAUCUAAUUUUAGCUUGGCCCCCAAGAUUAACAUCAUGGCUCCGCCACUACGGAUCGAUAUAUAGGUCAAUUCUUGAUUCAAUUGAUCAACUAAUCCUAUUUAAUCCGAUUUAAAUAACUAUGCCACAUAUAUACAUAUUUCUAAAAUAAUAUGUUAGUAUAAAAAUAUUUAAUCAAUUUGAGUUAUGAAAUUGUCGUCUAACAAUAGUUUUGGGUAUCUUAUAAACUCAAAAUUUUCAAAUUAUGUUGGUGUCCAUUUGUGCUUUAUUUUUGGUACAAGCUCUUUUUGGAGUUAUACCAUACAUUAUAUAAUUUAAAAUAUUCUUAAAAAAUAGAUUGAAGUAAAUUAAGCCUAAAAUUUAAAUGUUUAAGUCAAAGCUUAAUUGAUAGUUUAAAUGAGAUUAUUCUUUUUUUUAAAUCUCAUUUUUUUAAUUUUAUCAAACCACCUCUAAAAAAUAAAUAAAAGAUGGUUGUUAGCCUUUUCCUAUAUAUGAGCAACAAUCUUUGGGCAGAGUAUAAAAGAUAGUUUAAGGUAUCUGAUUUUGUAGUAGUGACUAAUCUUUUCAUUGUUACUGCUUUUCAAAAGGUAAUAUGUAAAAAAUGGUAAUAUAUAAUUUACUUAUAAUUAUGGUACGUUUAGUUCGUUAGAGUGAAAUAAAAUUAUAAUAGAAUAAUAACUAUUAGGAAUGAAAUAGAAUUGUAAUUGAAUGGAAUAAAUAUGAUAAUUUGGUUGGGUAGAAUGAAUGAGCUGGUAAUAAUAUUUUUGUAUCUUGAUUUAAAAAAAUGAUAGUAAAAAUCGGCCAUUUUACCAAAAAAGCCCUUUUUUAAAAAUUACCGAAAUGGGCCCAUUAUUUAAUUAUUUACCGGAAUGGUCCAUUUUUCAGCAAAUUGCGUCCACGUCAGCGCGAUGUCAAGGGACGCGUGCUGACGUGGCCGCGAUUUCCUUCGCCACGUAGCGCAUUUCUGGGGACGCAUUUCGGCUUUUAGGGCUUAGGGUUCAGGCUUUUAGGGUUUUUAGGUCUUGGAAGAAAUAAUUUCGAGUUGAUGUUUCUGAUCAAAUAGUAUAAAAUCGCUUCUAACAGGAUGCUAUUUGAGAAGAAUUUGUGAAAUUGCGCCCUCGUGGACGCGCUUUUGCUACAGUAGGUCAUGGAAGAAAUAAUUUUUUUGACGUUUCUAAGCAAAUAAUAUAAAAUCGCUUAUAGCAGGAUGCUAUUUGAGAAGAAUUUGUAAAAUCGCACCCUCGUGGACGCGCUUUUGCUACAAUCGGUCAUGGAAGAAAUAAUUUUUUUGACGUUUCUGAGCAAAUAGUAUAAAAUCGCUUCUAGCAGGAUGCUAUUUGAGAAGGAUUUGUGAAAAUCGCGCCCUCGUGGACGCGCUUUUUCUACAGUAGUAUGUUUAGGCUGAGGCUAUAAAUUAGGCAGAAAAUGCUCUCAGAAUGCAUAAGUCACAGCAGAAAUAAUUUAGAGAGGCUAAAAAGGUUAGAGUUUCAAAUAUGAGUGAACGUAUUAGUGCUGUUAUUUACUACGAUGGUGAGGUUUGCCACACUGAGAAUGGUGUUAUUUUUUUGUAGGAGAAUACGGUGUGACUGGUUUUUAACCAGAACAUAGAUUUGACAGAACUUCGUAAAAGAAUUAGGCGUAAAAUUUUCAGAACGACGCCAAUGAAAGUUUUGUCUAUCACAUAUCGAUUUUGUUCUUCUGUUGAUCCGGUGACAUAUGACUCGUUCGACAUAAAAGGUGCUCAUAGCCUAGAGGCAAUGGUGCAGACUCAUCUUGCUAGUGGAGCACCUUAUAUUGAGUUAUAUGUACAAUUUACAUCGCCAACUAAUGUACUUUCGACCGGUGUUCAAGAUGUAUACACGACCCCUGGCUGACACUCGGUUAGCAGGUUACAAAAUACGGAACAGCCCAUGUUCGGUAGCGGUGUCGAAUGCACAUCCCCCGCGAGACACUCUGUCGGUGGAUGAGACAUCUACCUCAGUAGCUCGAUGUUUGAUGCUGGAAAUACGUACUGGGAACGGCAUCAAGUUCUAGUGGGUGGCAAUCUACAUCCAAUUGGGGACGUUAUCAAAUGCCCAGAAGAAGGAAUGACGUACUCCCUACGACGUCAACCGGUGAGGGGACCUCGUACGCUGCAGAUGAUUGUGGGUUAGAAGAUGACUCCGAUGUGGAUCCACUUCGAGAGCCCGGGCCGGAUGGUGCAGAAGUUGGCUAAUUUUCUGAACCGGAGCCUAUUCCAACAGAACCUGAAGAUGCUGAAAGGAGUUCAGAUGAAGAGGAAAACCCAUGAUUCAGAGCAUACUCACCUCCAGCCCACAUGCAUAAUGUCGAUCUGUCUGCAGAUGAUGCGUUAGAGUUUCCAGAUCUACCACACUGGUUGCGUGAUUGUACAAUUUCGGGGGCAGAUUUCGGUGAAUUUGAAGUUGGUAAUCAGUUUACCGACAAGGAUAGUUUUAUUGGUGCUUUGAAACAACAUAGCAUCAAAAACGUCAUUAACUACAACGUCGUUAAAUCCAAAUAUGAUAAGUUUGAGGCGAAGUGUGCGGUCCAAGAUGGCACAUGUUCAUGGAAAAUCUACGCCUCGUUAAGGAAAAAGGACAGGGUUGUGGGAGGUUAAAAAGUACAAAGGUCCACAUACAUGUGCUGCAGGUAUAGUAUUGACAGUUUCUGAAUAAUACUUUUAUUAUGCAAUGUUGCAUUAUUUAAUUUACUCGAUUUAUAGGUGUUUUACAAAAUCAUCCCAAGAUGGAUUCAGCUAUGUUAGCUAGCUUGAUACUGCCCACGGUAAAAGCAGAUCCCACGACUUCAGUGCCGGUGUUAAUUGCCAAUAUCCGUAGCCAAAUGGGGUACACGCCCUCUUACUGCAAGGCUUGGAUAGCUAAGCAAAAGGCGUUGGAGAAGAUGCAUAGUGGGUGGGACGCCUCAUAUAAUGAAAUAUGGCAGUGGUGUCAGGUGCUAGAGAGAUACGUCCCAGGUGCCAUCACAGACCUUGAAACGGAACAUGCGUACUACAACGGUCGAUUUCUACGUGGAUGCUAAGUGUUCAAAUGCCUGUUUUGGACCUUUAAGCAAUACCGAGACGUAUUUCCAUACUACAAGCCGUUGGUACAAAUUGACGGUACCUUCAUGUUCGGUAGGUAUACUCAUCGGCUAUUGCUUGGAGUGGCACAGGAUAGUGAUGGGAGAAUUCUUCCAAUUGCAUUUGCAAUAACACCGGGGGAGUCGUCUGAUGACUGGGAUUUCUUUCUCUCUAGGUUAAGGAGGCAUGUGUGCCCCCAACCUGAUAUCUGUGUUAUUUCAGAUUGGGGCACCGGUAUACUAGCUGCAUUUGAUCGACAGUGAAGCUUAUGGCAGCGCACACACCAUAUAUAUUGCCUAAGACACAUUGCUUCGAACUACUACAGGCAAUAUCCAUCUAAGAGCGAACGACGACAAGUGACCAACAUUGGUAUUUAGUCUAUAUCUGUGUUAUUUUGUUUGUCAAUUUGAAUUAGUUUUAUUGGUAGAAGUGGUAUAAAUUAUCGCUAUGAUCUUAUAUUGGCAGGGUAUGAAAUAAAUAAAGAUCGUUUUCACGAGAUGUUGGCAAUUUUACGUUCAAUUAACGGAGAAGGGGCGGACUACCUUUGUAACAUACGUUUCGAACAGUGGGCACAAGCAUACGACGGCGGCCUACGAUAUGGCCGUAUGACGUCAAACCUGACUGAAUGCAUAAAUUUUGUUCUUAAAUGAACGCGCCAUCUACCGAUAACAUCGGUUGUGCGAGAGACAUAUUUUCGGUUGGCGGCGCUAUUUCCAAAGCGAGCAGCAAGUUAUGCAGGUCAGAUGCAGGGAGGCCAUGUAUGGUGCAGUAAGGUAGUUCAAGAAAUUAACAAGGUCAAGGCGAGGGCAAACACCAUGCACAUAGUGUGUCACGAACGAGACAAUUUAUGGUUUCGCGUGACAGAGUUUGACAGACCGCACCAAGGUGUUGUUGGCGGGCAAUAUCGUGUACACUUGCGAAAUAGGACUUGUGACUGUGGGAUGUUUGAUGCACUUCGUUAUCCAUGCGUGCAUGUUAUUGCAGCUUGUCUGAAUCUCCGUCUGGAUUCGAUGAGUUAUGUGGACGAAGUGUACAAAUUAGAAAACAUGUACAACAUCUGGAGACACGUUUUCCCACCUGUCCCAGAUGAACGUAAGUGGCUGUCCGUAUCUCUUGCUCCUUUUAAGCUGUUUCCUGAUAGAGAAUUACGUCGCAAACCAAAGGGUCGACCUUGCUUGACUAGAAUACGUAACAAUAUGCAUAUCCGAGAAACAGCCAGUCAAACAAAGUUGUACGGAUGGUGUAGGAAUCCAGGCCAUACAAGUCGAUCAUGCCCUAAUCGUAAUAGUUGAAUGUAAUUGUAAAAAAAUUAAGUUUGUCAAAUUAUUAAUUGAUAAAUUGUAUUAAUGGUUAGUAAAAAUUUCAAAUUAUAUAAAAUUAUUAAUUGUUAGUGUUGACACCAUUUUUUGGAUAAAACGGGGUCGACUUGGGUUUUAAAAAUGAAAACGUAAAUUGGAGUCGCCACCGUUUGAUGAGGUGUGAUCGGAUCACCUCGAAAAGUGGUUCUUUUUAAUAAACGGUUUGAUUUUAUUAAAACAACAAGUUUGGUCCACGAAAUUCAGAAAAACAGGUUCGGGAGUCGGUUACACACGAGGAAGGAAUAGCACCCUCGAUACGCCUAAAAUUGGUACCUAGUUGAUUACUUAAUGUCUUAAUGUCAAAAAUUGAAACUUUGAAGAAUUUUAAAAAUACGAUCCUUAAUUUUCUUUGAAAGAAAUCGAGCUACUCGUUAAGACUUUUUCAUUUCAGAAAAAGAAAAUGUCACACCCAAUGCGUUAGAGUACGAUAUUUUACCUUUUCAGAAAUGAGAUAGUCUAAAACUCGCAUAGUAAAGUUUAAAAGGGUGUUUGAUUGUUUAAAUCAUAUGAAAAAAAAAAUUGCAACCCAAUACGUUAGGGUACAAUUUCUUCAAAUGUUAAACAUUGAAUAUUGCAUUUAUUUAAAAAAAAUCUUCGUUUCGAGAAAUCAACGUGUCAUGUCCAAUGCAUUAGGACACGACGUAUUGAAUUUUCGAUAAUGAGUUUUUAUAUAUGUCUUUUUAUAAAAAAAGAGUAACUUCGAUUAUUUAAAUUCAACAAAGAAAAUCGAAACCCAAUACGUUAGGGCUCGAUUUUCUCGAAGAUCUCAAAUACCGAGUGUUACUUUUAUUUUGAAAUUUUUCAUUUUUGAUAAAUCCGGGUAAAAAUGGAUGCAAAAUAAUGAUAACGAUGAUAAUGUAAGUAAAAUAAUGUGAGCAAAAUAAAAGAUAAAUAAAUAAUAAGACUAAUGUAAAAAAAAAUAAUCAUGCAAGCACAAUAACAAAUAAUAAAUAAAAAUUCUAAAGCAUAACAAAUAAUAAAAAUGAACAUGUAAAUAAAUAAAGAAAAUAAAAGAUAUUUAUGAAUUUUAAAAUAUAAAAAUAUAAGUAUUUACAUAUAUGUGCAUAUGUACAUAAAUAUAAGUUAUAUAAAAAUAUGUAAGUGUAUAAUGCAUAUAUGUAUAUAUAUAUGAAAUAAAAAUAAAGCUAAAAUAAAAUAAAACUAAUUAAUAUAUUAACACAAUAGUCAAAAAUAAAUAAAAGGAAAAUAAAACUAAUAAUAAUUAAUAAUAAUAAUAAUGAUAAUAAUAAUGAAAACAAUAAUAAAAUAAUUAACUAAAUAAUAAAAUUGCUAAACAAAGGCUAAAUCAAAAUAGAAACGAAAAUACUGGGCGAAUUUGAAAUAAAAAACCGAAAAGGAUUAAAUUGCUACACGCGCCGAAAGAGGAGGGACCAAAACGGUAAAUAAACCAAAGCCUCAAAACGCAGCGCUGCAACGGACUAAAAUGAAACAAAAAUAAAACUAUGUGGCUAAAUUAAAAUAAAAGAAAAUAACGAAAAAGGGCCAAAUUGCAACGCGCUGCAAAGUCAGAGGGACUGCGCGCAAAUAUCCCCUUUUGAAAAAACACGCUGAUCCUCCCCCCAGGGUCGGGUCAUCUCGCGGGUCAUGCCAAAACGACGCCAUUUUGGUGCCUGUAAGGCCUGCCCAAAACGGAGUCGUUUCAGGGGCCUAUAUAGGUAAAAAUAAACAAAAAAAAUCAUUUUAAAACCAUUUCAAAAAAAAAACUUUAGCCCCCUUUUUAUUUUCUCUCUAUCCCCUCUCCCUCCGGCCACGUUCCGGCCACUGACCACCGUGCCGGACUCCAGUCGCCGACGUCGGCACCGCCGUGCGCAGUGACCGGCGGGGGUAAAAAAUUUCCUUUUUUAGAUCUCGGCCCACUAAACUCAAAUCCGGCCUCAAAACACCCAAAAAAACAAAAGGCACGUAACAACUAUGGUGAGUUCCUCUUUUCCUUUUUUGUGUUUAUUCAUAUGUAAAAAAAACGAAAGAAAGAAUAAAAAUGAAAUAAAAAUAAAAAAACAAAAACAGUAAUGAACCUGUUCAAAGUUCUUUCUUUUAUUUUUUAUUCUAGUAAAAAAGAGAGAGCUUUACAAUCAGUUUUUGCUUGGCUUUUAUAGCCAUUUUACAAGUUUUUUUUUAUUUGCUUGCUUGUUGCUGUUUCUUUGUGUGCUUUCUUCUCAUUGUAGGUGGAGCAGGUGGCGUUGCAGGUGGUGGUGGCAGAGUUGGUGAUGGCAGAGGGUAAGUGGUGCGGCGCCUAGGGUUAGGGGGAUUAGGGUUUUCUAAAAUUUUUUAGUUUUUGGGCUGGGUUUUUAAUUUUUUUUGGGGCUGUUUUGAUUUGUUUUAUUUUCUCUGGUGGGCCGGGCAAAUUUGGGCUUCUACAGUUAGUAUCUGUCAAAACAUUUUUCCAAAUCUAACAUUAUGUGAAAGUAAAAUUAUUAAUUGAUAAAUUGUAUUAAUGGUUAGAAAAAUUAUCAAAUUAUAUAAAAUUAUUAAUUGUUAGUACUAGGAAAAAACAUUUUUCCAAAUCUAACAUUAUGUGAAAGUAAAAUUAUUAACUUAGUUUAGGGUUUUUAAUUAACUUAGUUUAGGGUUUUUAAGUUAAGGGUUAGGGUUUUUAAGUUAAGGGUUUAGGGUUUUUAAUUUAAUUAGGUUAGGGUUUUUAAUUUAAUUGUUAGAGUUUUUAAUUUAAUUGUUAGGGUUUUAAUUUAAUUAGGUUAGGGUUUUUAAGUUAAGGGUUAGGGUUUUUAAUUUAAUUAGGUUAGGGUUUUUAAGUUAAGGGUUAGGGUUUUUAAUUUAAUUAAAUAAUAUCAAAAUAUUCAAAAUAUUUGUACAAAUAAAUUUAAAUACGGCAAUCAAUGUCUAUGCCCGGGGGAUUCAGUGCCACAUGGUGGCCGUCGACGGUUAUGCGCUGGAUUCCUUCUUUCUCUAGCUUCCGGCGACGGUUGUUGCUCCUCCAGCAGGGAUUCUGGUCCUUCCGGUACGACAUCUAUUGUCGGACUUGGGAUGAUGAUCCACCUUCAAAGAAUAGUGUAUGUGGAGGUGUUUGCAUCACGAACGGCGACGGUGUUUGAAACUCAUACGUUGGUGGGGAUUGGUAAAAAGGAGAGCUCCCCGACGGCCCCUCUUGCGAUCCCUAGUGUGCCGCUGGCCUAUACAUCGGCGGUCCACUCAGCAUAACAAGAAAUGGAGCUGAACCGGGCAUUUGGCUCCAACCUGCCAUAGGACUCGGAAAAGGAUACAUAUAAGGGUAAGGAUACAUAUAAGGGCUAGGAAACGCACCUGACAUCAUCUGAAAAGACGAUUGCGUGGGUAUCAUCGACUGAACUGCUGCAUUGGGUGACUGUGUCGGUGCUCUCGCUGGGCCUGGUGAUUGCAUGGCCACUGAUGAUGAGCCGGGUGAAUGUCUGGGCCUCGUUGAGGGGCUACCUUCGUCGUCUUGUCGUCUUGGAUUUAGAGGCUCGAGCCUUUCCCUUUCGACACGUAUUUGUCGCUGUCUCUCCUCUGGCGUCAGUAAAUACAGCUUGCCAUGGAUCCUAAACCAUGGCAUGUAUUCUGGAACGCACGAUAACUCCGGAACGAUGAUUGGUUCUCGAGUAGGUAUAUAUUCAUACCGAUCUUCCCACAUUUCCAUGUACUCGGACCGAUAACUCAGCCAAUCCGUAUUCAAUUGCCAAAGGUCGACCUUGUGUUGAUUGUCAAACACCUCAGGAUCCACGGGAAUCGGUUGUCUACAUCUAAACUGUCGUAGCACUCUGUCUGACUGGUGCGGCUCCAUGGUUGCGUAGUUGAUCAACACGACUUUCACCUGCCAAGCUUGUGGAUUUUGUAAGAACUCUUCCGGGAUUACUGCCCGAAUUGCCAGAUCCUCAUAUGGUGUCCAUUGAAACUAUAUGAACAUGAUAGAAAUAUUAGUUAUAUACAUAAUACUAAAUACCAAAUACUAAAUACCAAUUGACUAGCGAAUGAUGGAAAUAUCAAUUUUAUUUAAUACUUACAUGUGCUUCCGACUGUUGGUCUAAUAGAAGCCGUAUAUCUUCAAGAGAGGUAGGUAAUCGAGCAUGACUUGCCGGAUGGUUCCACCUAAUUAAAUAAAAUUUUAGCAUACUUUUAUUUUUAAAAAUCUACAUAAUAAUUGUAAAAUCUAAUAUAAAAUUUACCUCGUUAUGAGUGGGAAUGUAUAUGGGUGGUCCACUCGAGGACGUAGAAAUGGAAAGCGAAAUCGUGCCCACGACUGUAGUAGUGAUAGGCAACCUCCAAUUUUUGCUCUCCUCGGUCGCGUCGCCCUGCACAUCUCCCGAUAUAACGUUGCCAAGACGGCAGACCCCCAACUCAAUUCACUGGCUACUCUAAAAUCGACGAGUUUCAGCAGUCAUCUUAGAUGUACGCGGCUCCCUGACGUGUCGGGCAUCAGAUAACCACCAAUUAUUUGAAGAAUGUAGGCCCGAGCAUAUUGGAUUCUUUCAAUUUCGGUUGAAUCUUCAUCCGGAUCAGGGAAUGUGUCACGUAACUAGCCCAUCUCAAUCUUACCUCCCUCCAUUUUCUCCGGAAUAGCGCCCAAAAGCUUGUAGCACACCGCCCCCCAAUCGCUAGAUUGGGCAGACCCGAUGACUGGGUACCCGUCCACCGGUAAUCCUAAUUGGAAACUGACAUCUUCUAGAGUGAUAGUGCACUCUCUACUUGGAAGAUGGAAUGUGUGCGUCUCGGGUCUCCACCUCUCGAUCAACGCACUGAUUAGUUUCGGGUACAACUUGCAUCCCCGGCCUACCGUCGCCACGUGCCAAAAACCUGCUUCCCGCAGGUAGUUCUCUACUAACGGUGAUGGAGGAGCAUGCAUAUUCUGGAUCUUGCAUUCCAAUACCCGAUCUACAGACUUUUAUAACAAAUAAUAAAUUAAUAAUUAUCUAAAAAUGCAUAAAUAAAAAAUUCUUAAAUAAUAUUUAAAAAUUAAAUUUCACACUUACCAUUUUCAUUUGUUCCACCGAUAUGUGAUGCUUAUCAAGACAAGUCAAUGAUCCAGCCAUUGAUGAAAUCGUACAAAUUUUUACGAAUUAUAAAAAAUAUAAAAUUAUUUUUAAAAAGGAAAUUGAGAGCAAAUUGAAAUUAAAUAUGGAUUUGAGAGAAUUUUGGAAGGAAAUUAAGAGAAAAUUGAAAUUAAAUAUGGAUUUGAGAGAAUUUUGGAAGGAAAUUGAGAGGAAAUACGAGAGAGCAUUAGUUUGUGAAAAAAUAAAAAGGGGUGGGGGUAUUUAUAGCUUUUUUUUACCGUUGGGGGGGCAACAGUCAAAUUUUUGACCGUUGGAGCAUUGUUCAUGCGCGGAGGAAAUCGCGGCCACGUCAGCGCGAUUUGCUGACAUGGCAUCAAAUCGUGUUCUAGAGGGCGCGAUUUGUUGCCAUGUCAGCAAAUCGCGCUGACGUGGCCGCAAUUUCCUGGCGCGUCCCCUGACAUCGCGCUGACGUGGACGCGAUUUGUCGAAAAAUGGAUCAUUCUGGUAAAUAAUUAAAUAAUGGGCCCAUUUCGGUAAUUUUUGAAAAAAAAGGGCUUAUAUUGGUAAUUUGCCCGUAAAAAUCAUCUGAAAAUAAGACGAAAUUCAAAGUACAACACCAAGUCUUCAUCAAGCAGUGUACAUGUCCAAAUUACUAUAUUGAUUAAUAAUAACAUUGAAUAAAUAACCUUCAAGAUUCAAUCCUUUAAGUUUUCUUUCUCCUUUAUUUACUUCCAUUUUAUAUAUGAUAUUUAGACUUAUUAAUGGGUUGAGUUAUUGAUCUAAACUUAAAAGAUUGUUUAAAUUUUGAAGGAGUUUUGGUAAAAAUAUUAAACCCUAAAAAUAGGACUAGACAAAAAAAAUUAAGUUUAUUUAAAAUAUGAGUUAAACUCAUAUAUGAACAUUCAAGGAUUGAACUAGGCUCGGCCCAUUUUUAAAAUUUGUAAUUUUUAUAUUAUAUUAUUUUUAUAUAUUAUGUAAUAUAUAAUACAAAAAUUAAAUUUAUAGUAAUAUAUAAUAUCGUAAAAAUUAAAAAAAACAUUAAGAUGAAUAUAUAUAUAAAAGUUUAAUAAAUAAAAUAUAUAAAUUAUUAAAUAGUAUUAAAAAUAAUAUAAAUAAUUUUAAAAAAUAAUUAUAUGGGUGGAUUUAAAAUGAAUUUGGGUUAACUAUUUAUAAGUAUGGAUGGGCUUAAACAAAUUUUAGGUACAUAUUUCAGACUGGGUUUGGUUUCUUGACAACCAGAAAAUGUGUUAACAACAUACUUAAAUCUAACCGAAACUCAACCCGACGCAUAGGGGAUUAUGUUUAAACAUCAAAUAAUAUUUGUGAAAUAUGAUUAAUUUUUAGAUAUUGCCUUAUGAGUAAAACUUUUUUAUUAGUUUGAAGAGUUGUGAGUUUAAUACUCUCUCAAAAUCGAUUCUUUAAUCAAUUUCCAAUUCAACCAAUUUAUCAGUCGAUCUAAUUCGGUUCAAACAACCCUAAUUAUAUGAAUUUCAAGCUGUUGAAGUUACAACUGAUAUUAAAAUAAAUCGGAACCUUCUCUAUCUCACCAAACUUACUCUAAACCAAGAGCAUAAAAAAUAAAAAAAUAAAAAUCCUCCUCUAAACCAUGCAGUGUUAGCAAUCGUAAGAUCUGUUAGUGAAACAUUGAGUAGAAACUAUAGAUGACAACAAGUGGGAACCCUCACCUUGUCAGAGAUCAUAGGAAGUAUUGAACUCUUAUAAUUAGAAUAAUCAAGUUCCACUGCAAAUAACGAUCAAAACCCACAAAAAUAAAAAUGCAUACCAUGAACAUGCAGCAGUUCAUAAUAUUCUUUGAAGUUUUAGACUCUUGACAAUAACCAGAAAAUUCAAACACAAACACAGUCUGUAUCUUCAGUUCAUAAACAUCCCAAUAAACCAUUGGGAUUCAAACACAAAACCAUCACACAAACACAUAUUGUCAGUAUCUUCAGUUCAUAAACAUCCCAAUAAACCAUUGACAUUCAAACACAACCAUCACACAAAUGCAUACUGGCAGUAUCUUCAGUUCAUAAACAUCCCAAUAAACCAUUGAGAUUGUAUUUCAAAGAAGCAAAUUACUCAACCCGUGGCUUUUUCGGCAAACUGGCUAGAUUCAGUUGGUUUUCUUUUAACCCAGCUUCGUCCUGAUCCAGCUUCAGUUUCUUUUCUUUUAAGUCAGCUUCGUCCUGAUCCAGCUUCAGUUUCUUCUCUUUUAAGUCAGCUCCAUCCUUCUCCAGCUUCAGUCUGUCUUUUCUAAUAUUAGCUUUCUUCUUCCACUACACCAAAACAGGGUUUUAGCGGCACUUUCUUAGGUCUAUAGUGGCGUUUUUUAGCGCCGUAAAUACUUUUAGCGGCGCUUCGCAAAGUGCCGCAAAGAUUGCUGCUAAUGACAGCGUCGGUAACUUUCGCGGCGCUUUCUAUGAUAAACGCCGCUAAAGAUCAGGAAUUUUAGCGGUGUUUUUUUUACAACGCCGCUAUAGACCAUGUUCUUUAGCGGCGCUUAAAUAAAAACACCACUAUAGACCGUGAUCUUUAGCGGCGCUUAAAAAAAACGCCACUAUAAACCGUGGUCUUUAGCGACGCUUACCAAAAAAUGCCACUAUAGACCAUGGUCUUUAGCGGUGCUUAACCAACAAACGCCACUACAGACCAUGGUCUUUAGCGGCGCUUAACCAACAAAUGCCACUACAGACCAUGGUCUUUAGCGGCGCUUAACCAACAAACGCCACUAUAGACCAUGGUCUUUAGCGGCGCUUAGGCGAAAAACGCCACUAUAGACCAUGGUCUUUCGCGGCGCUUAGGCGAAAAACGCCAAUAUAGACCAUGGUUUUUCGCGGCGCUUAGGAAAAAAACGCCACUAUAGACUGUGGUCUUUAGUGGCGCUGACCAAAAAAUGCCACUAUAGACCAUGGUCUUUAGUGGCGCUUAGGCGAAAAACGCCACUAUAGACCAUGGUCUUUCGCGGCGCUUAGGCGAAAAAUGCCACUAUAGACCAUUGUCUUUCGCGGCGCUUAGGAAAAAAAUGCCACUAUAGACCAUGGUCUUUAGUGGCGCUUAUGCAAAAAACGCCGCUAAUUUUGGUAGAUUUGGAAAGUUUUUUUUUUAUUUGCAGCCCUCCCGUAAAAACAAAUCAGAAGAAACCAAAUCUAAACCAACCAAAAGUAAUAAAUCUAUAUAAUAUUUAAAAUAAAUGUCAAUAAAUAAAAUAAAAUUCGUAUUAUUCUUACAAAAAUUGUAAAAGUUUAAAUGAUAAUACCAAAGUCAAAAUUGAAGUAUAUUUACACGAUAGUCUAAGACGACGGCGGUUGCGAUUGCUGAAACAUCUUCAUCAUAUUCUGAAGCUGCUGCUGGAGUUUAUCGAACUUUUUAAGUUGUUCUGCUUCCCUCGCCGCAGCCUCUACUUUACUCGCUUUAGCCUCUGCUUCUCUCGCUGCCGCAUCUGCUUUAAGCUGCUGCUGGAGUUCUUCAUGCUUUCGUUGAACCUCAACUUCUCUCGCUGCUGCCUCUGCUUCUCUCGCUGCCGCAUCUGCUUUAAGUUGUAGCUGGAGUUCUUCAUAUCUUUUUUGAACCUCAGCUUCUCUCGAUGUUGCCUCCGCUUUAAGUUGUGUAAUUUGCUCAGUUGUUGUCGCUUGCAUCUGAGAUAUCUGGUCUCUUAACCUCUAAACUUCAGCUUGGGCCUGACUCGCCGAACGCAUGUGUUGUUGCGAGCUGGAUCCAAAAUAUUGGGAUGGGUUAACAAAAGAUCCUUGAAAUCGAACCCGACCAUACCUUUCAGGACCCAAAACUUCAGUGAUAAUUCGGUUAUCAAUGUCGUCAAUAUGAACAGAACUAUCACUGGAAGUAAUCGCUUCGUACUCUACUUUUUUAUCCUUCAGUUUUUCCUAAAAAAUAAAUCACAUAGUUAAGAACGCAAUAUAUAUUAAAAAAACAAAUGCAACAUAACUUAACAAUAUUUGCAUUACAAGAAAUGAAAUAAACCAUUAGAAAAUAAACAGUAUAAAUAAUUAAAAUAAGUCAAACUGUAUUAAGCAAACGUACCAUAAUUUCUGCAGCUUCAGGAGUCAUAGGGUUUCCAUCUUUCUUCCUAUGUGUAAUGUUAAAAAGUUGAAGGCGUCCAACUUUUUGACCCGACAACACUUCCUACAAUACAAUAGUAAAAAUAUUAUUUGAUAGAAAGAAAUAAAUAUCUGCCAGUAUUAAAAAAUUCAAAAUACCUCGGCCUGAGCUACACACGCAAAACUUCUCGACCCAGCUGUGUGCGUGAAUUUUUGUUUCUGCCUACUACUUGNNNNNNNNNNNNNNNNNNNNNNNNNNNNNNNNNNNNNNNNNNNNNNNNNNNNNNNNNNNNNNNNNNNNNNNNNNNNNNNNNNNNNNNNNNNNNNNNNNNNUAAAUACUAUAAACCAAAAUAAUUACAAGAUUUUUGUAGUAACACAUACCUCUCAUUUCUUCGAAGUCCAAAAUCUAACGACCUCUUCCCACUGGUACCUUAGCAUUCCCGGCGGGACAUUUUGUAAUUUCUCGUCGAGUGUUGUUUUUGUCUUAAAAUAGUCUUUCUUUAAAGUGCUCUUAUGGUCUCUCCAUCUUUUUCCCAAUGCCUUCUUUACAUAAGCAUCGGAGACCUCUAGAGCAAAUCUCGCCUAAAAAAAACACAACUUAAGAAAGUAAAUGUAAACGAAACUUAAACCCAAGUAUUAUAAAUGACAUACACGUUUUUUUACCUUAAUGUUAUCGAGAGCUUGGUUCUUGUUACUCUCGGGCACUUUAUGCCAUGACUCGAAGUUAAUUGGCAACAUAUUUGCAUUCUGUGCUAGAAUGCCCAUGUAUCCUGCUAAAAGGCGAGCUUCUGAUCCAACAGGCUGACCAAAGCUAUUACUGGAUACUUGGACACGCUCGACUGGAUCUAGAUCGUAUAAAUCCCUCAGUAGCGUACGUCCGUGAACUCCUCGCGUCCCAGCAGUUUCAGCUAGAAAAUAAAAGUAUUGUAAUAUAAGAAAUUUAAAAAAUAAAAUAAAUAAUAUGUCAACACACAUGUAAGUUAAAUGUUAAAUUACUUUUAGCUUCUAUAGGUUCAAGUGUAACCGGAACGUUCAAAGAUCCAAUAGCAGUUUUUGUUCAGUGCUGUUUGUUUCGGUCGAGUUUGGAGUACCUUGAACAAUACGGUGCGCUCGCACGGGUCUUCUAGGCAUUUUAUCUACAAUAUAAAUAAAUUAGUGGAAAGCUUAAUAUACAAUUACAACAAUAAUAAUAUGUUUAAAAUAGUUUAAAUAUAUAAUAAGACCAAUAUUAUGAUAUGAUAUUACAUAUAAUUAAAUAAUCGUAAAAGCUUACUAUAUUAUAAUCCAUAAAUAUCUUCAUUCGUAUCCUGGCGGACCCAUUGACUGUGUGUACUAGUACUAGGGAUGUUUUCGUUUAAGUUUUGUUCUGGAAAUGGCAAAGUUUGUGUUCUGUCGUCAACGCCAUCUCUGCUUCCACUGCCCAUGUCAAACAAGUCCCUAGGGAUGUUACGAAGCACAACGUACCAACCCUCAUCAAUUGGAUCUUUUGAGUAAAAAACGUGUUUGGCUUGAGAAGGAAAUACGUACGGCUCAUCAAUCAAUUGUUGUCCGGUAUGAAUCAAUCGAGUGAAGUUCACCAUUGUGAAACCAAAUUGAUCUUGCUUAAUUCCACAACCAGUAUUAACAUCGGCCCAAUCACCUCGAAAUAAGACAACUUUCCAUUUUCCGUAGUAAUCCAACUCAAUUAUAUCAGUAAGAAGUCUGAAAUAUUCUACAUUUCCCUCGACAGGAUUGUUGUCCCUAGCACUAGCAUAACUAGUAACUGAGGAAUUAACAACUAUUCCACAAUUUUGCGUUCUCCUCAAUCUCUCGCGAUAUUUUGUAUGAAAUCUAAAUCCGUUUAUGAGGAACGCACUAUAUCUUUUAACCACCAGAUUUGGACCUUGAGAAAGCCAUUUGACUUCGUCGGUCACGUUCUUCCCACUCCAAACCUAUUGUAUGAUAAGUCAACUGAGUAAUUUCAAAUGUUAUGAGACAAGAUUAUAAUUAUAUGUUGAUGAAAGCUACAAUUGCAUACCGUUUCAGUUAACCAUUCAUGGAAAGAUUCUAUGAACAACUUAUUGAUGUCUCGAAGUUGUGUUUUUCGGGAGCGCGAACGAGAUCUCAGUAUUUGUUUGUACUCACUAUGUAAAAAAUAUGUUCAGCUUGUUAGAAGAUAAACAACUGAGGACUAAUUGAUGAAUAUCAAUCAAAUGGUUAAAAGAUAAAUAAUCUUACUUGCGUAAAGGUUCCAUUGAUUCGUGGUGAAACAGAACAUACCGAUGUGCUUGUACCCACGAAAAACCAUCUAAUUCUGCAAUUUCCACUUUGCCGAUUAGUUCUCCAAAACUUUGGAACAAAUAAGUAUCGGCCAAGUUAUGAUCUGUGAGUCCAGCAUUUCUAUUUGGUCUGCUCAACCUUGUUUCAACAUCAUCCAAAUAUUGCGAACAGAAGGUCAUACAUUCCUCUGCUAAGUAGGCUUCAGUAAUCGAUCCUUCUGGAUAACGCUUGUUGCGGUAGUAAGACAUUAAUUUGGAUAGGAACUUAAACACAAUAAAUAAUGUUAUGAAAAGUUGUACUUAAAGGCAUAUAGGGUUUACGGAAGGAGAGUUUUUAAAAUAAAUUAACACAUUUCUAUGGGAUACAUCCAUCGGUGAAAAACGGGUACGCCAAGAAUUGCUUCUCCCGGGAGGUGGUUUAUCAAGUGAACCAUAAUAGUGAAGAAGGAUGGUGGAAAGAUUUUCUCCAUGUUGCAUAAAGUCAAUGCGGCUCUAUCCUGUACCUUCUGAAGUUCUUGAACAUCCAAAAUGGCUUUCAUUAUAUUGGAUAGUUCAAUUAUACAGGACGUCACCUUCUUCGACAUACAACAUCGUAGAGCAACUGGCAGUAAAUCUUGCAUCAAGAUGUAAUAGUCAUGUGAUUUUAGCGAAUACAGUCUUCGAUCUUUAACACUAACACAUCGAGAUAUAUUUGAUGCAUACGCAUCUGGAACCUUUAUAUCCUUCAACACCGUACAGAACACUUCUUUCUCUGUCCUCGACAUCGAAAAAAUUGAAGGCGGCAACCGAUAUUUCCCAUUAGGAAGUGGACUCGGAUGAAGAUCAGGUCGAAUUCCCAUUUGGACUAAAUCAAGUCAACUCUGAAGAUUGUCUUUUGAUUUUCUAUCUACAUUCAAAAUUGUACCCACAAUGUUCUCGCAGACAUUUUUCUCAAUGUGCAUAACAUCAAGAUUGNNNNNNNNNNNNNNNNNNNNNNNNNNNNNNNNNNNNNNNNNNNNNNNNNNNNNNNNNNNNNNNNNNNNNNNNNNNNNNNNNNNNNNNNNNNNNNNNNNNNCCACAAGUCCGCCUCAUUGGGAUCAUCCUCUUCAUCGGAGUCAUCAUCAGCUUCAUCAUUUGAUCUUCUAUUUAUUUGCAUGUUUGUCGGGUGGUUCAUCUUUCCAUAACCGAAAUUUAUAUCUUUCAACAUGAACAAGAUAUCAGAUCCACUUGUCUGCGAAGGAGCUUCUCUGAACUCUUCGGUACCGUCAAAUACUGAACUCUGAAAUCUAAAUCUAUGAUUUUUCGGUAACCACCGACGAUGCCCCAUGUAAGAGAACUUUUUCCCAUUGUAUAACCAUUGCGAACAUGUUUGUACAGCACAACAAGGACACGCAUAACGACCCUUUGGACUCCAACCGGAUAAAUUGGCAUAAGCGGGGAAGUCAUUAAUGGUCCACAUCAAAGCUGCACGUAAAUUAAAGUUAUCCUUUCUCAGCACAUCGUAUGUCUCGACACCAGCCCGUAAUUGUUUUAACUCUUCAAUAAGUGGUUGUAAAUAAACGUCGAUAUCAUUCCCGGACCCUUUCUCUCCAGGGAUAAUCAUAGAUAAGAUAAGGGAAGAUUGCUUCAUGCAAAUCCACGGAGGCAGGUUGUAAGGAACAAGCACUACUGGCCAAGUACUGUACGCAGUGCUCAUGAUCUUGUAAGGAUUAAAUCCAUCGGAUGCUAGGCCAAGCCUCACACUCCUAAGAUCUCUUGCAAAGGUUGGAAAUUUAUUGUCGAAUGAUUUCCAAGCUAAAGAAUCUGCUGGAUGCCUUAAUAAUCCAUCAUCGAUUCAUCCAUCAUGGUGCCACGUCAUUGACUCCGCUGUCCUCGACGACAUGAAAAGCCUUUGAAGCCUUGGUAUCAGCGGAAAAUACCACAAAAUCUUGACCGGCUUCUUUCUUGGUUGUGCAUCAUUUUCAUCGUCGUUCCCGUCUUCUGUGUUUCUAUUUAUCCAACGGGAUUCGCCGCAUACAUGACAGCACUGUUGGUUUCUCCGAUCGCCCCAAUACAACAUGCAGUCGUUCGGGCAACUAUGGAUUUUGUUGUACCCAAGACCUAAGUCUUUUAUCAUUUUCUUCAUAUCUUUGCAUGACUGAGGGAUUUUUGCAAAUAGAAACAUUUCUCUCAAAAACUCUAGCAGCAUUGUCAAAGAGCACAAUGUACCAACCCUCCCAAACAUUUUAACUGGAAAAGACGAACGCAGAAAGCCAUUUUGGAGAAUUUUGAUCCCUCAUAUAGUUCUUCGUUCAUCUCAUUAAGAAGCGCAUAGAACUUCACCACUUCUCCAUUCGGCUCUUCAUGAGGUACACUUGUUCCCCGUUCAGUAAAAGCAUUUGCACCAGCAUUACAAUUAUCAGAUGCCACAAAGUCGGUCGGGAACGACUGAAAACCAUGACUGUGCAUAUUAAAUGCAUCCCGCAACAUACCUUUCAUGUCAUCCCCUCUAUCAGACUGAUGGUAAGCAGUACCAGGAUAAGAUACACCUAUUCUUGAAGAGGAAGUACUAGGCGGGCAUUCUCCAUGGAAAAACCAUUUUUUAUAACCUCGAACAAACCCAUCAACAACUAGAUGCUCGUAUACAACUUCACGAUAAUGCCAGUUUAUGUUGACACACUUGUUACAGGGGCAAAGAAUCAUGUUCUCUUGGCUUGCAUAUUGAAAUGCAAAAUUCAGAAAAGUUUGUACUCCAUUUCUAUAUUCGUUGCUUACCCUUGACAAAUACAUCCAAGACCGGUCCAUUGCUUAAUUAUUGCAAGUCUGAUUUUCAGCAGAAAUUACAAGGGUAAGUUGUUAACUUCAUUGGUAUUGUUUCACUAUCUAAGUUAUCAUAUGAUAUAUAUUAAUAAGUUAUGUCGUAUUAUAUAAGUUAUGUAUUAAAAAUGUAAAAGUAUUAAUAAGUUAUGUAAGUUAUGUAUCAUUUAUCCAUAAAUAUAUUAAUAAGUUAUGUCGUAUUAAUGUAAGUUAUGUAAUUUAUGUAUAAUAUUAAUGUAAGUUAUGUAAGUUGUAAGUUAUGUAAUUUAUGUAUAAUAUUAAUGUAAGUUAUGUAAGUUGUAAGUUAUGUAUAAUAUUAAUUAAUUAAGUUAUGUAAUUUAUGUAUAAUAUUAAUGUAAGUUAUGUAAUUUAUGUAUAAUAUUAAUGUAAGUUAUGUAAGUUGUAAGUUAUGUAUAAUAUUAAUUAAUUAAGUUAUGUAAUUUAUGUAUAAUAUUAAUGUGGCUUCUACGUCUCNNNNNNNNNNNNNNNNNNNNNNNNNNNNNNNNNNNNNNNNNNNNNNNNNNNNNNNNNNNNNNNNNNNNNNNNNNNNNNNNNNNNNNNNNNNNNNNNNNNNNNNNNNNNNNNNNNNNNNNNNNNNNNNNNNNNNNNNNNNNNNNNNNNNNNNNNNNNNNNNNNNNNNNNNNNNNNNNNNNNNNNNNNNNNNNNNNNNNNNNNNNNNNNNNNNNNNNNNNNNNNNNNNNNNNNNNNNNNNNNNNNNNNNNNNNNNNNNNNNNNNNNNNNNNNNNNNNNNNNNNNNNNNNNNNNNNNNNNNNNNNNNNUGUAUAUAAUGCUCAAAUUCUUCACUAAUAGUGCCAUCAAAGGAUAAUGACAAGACAUUUUUCUCAAUUUCCAUAAUUUAGUCAAAUGAUCCUCUUUCGAUUCCAAUUCCAACCAUUGUUGCUUAUAACCAUUGAGAUUGUAAACUUACCAACGCUAGACCACCUCCACAUGCAUUAAUCAAAUCCUAAAUUAUAUUUUAGAAGGGGCACCUCCAUAUGCAUUAAUCAAGCCCUAAAUUAUCUUUUGGAAGGGGAAUCGAAGCAAUCUACAAAAGGAUCGACUAUUCUAAAAGAUAAGCAAAGGAAUCCCAUUUCCAAUUGUCAUGAUUAUCUACCAUAUCGGAGACCNNNNNNNNNNNNNNNNNNNNNNNNNNNNNNNNNNNNNNNNNNNNNNNNNNNNNNNNNNNNNNNNNNNNNNNNNNNNNNNNNNNNNNNNNNNNNNNNNNNNGCUAGCUUCCAUAGUGCUUUUGCUAAUCAAAGGUCUUACAUUAAGCAGCUACCUUUCUAUUAACAUCGUCACACUUCUUCCAUUGUCUACUGACCAACUUAUAUUAGUUCGAAGCAUCUCUUGUACUUUCAUGAAUGAACCUCAAACUUAUAUUACAUUUUACCAUGUACUAAAAUGAGAAUGAGAUAUUAAACCAUAAUAUGUUGAUCGGAAAGGCAAAUGGGAGCACAUGGGAUAAGAAUUAGAGGACCCACAUGCAAAUAUGUCCUUAAAUUUGAAAGCUUUUUCAUGGGAACUUGAAGAAUAUGCAAAUUAUUAACAAAUUUUUCACUACAAGCCUGCAAAUCUAUUUCAGUGAAGGAGAGAAGGAGGAAAACCUGUCGACUGUUGUACCCUAGCGACGGCAGAGAACUGCGGUGGUACAGCACUGUGACGGUCGACGGUUGACGAGCGAGAACAGAAGGGUCGACGAGCAAUGUAGCAGAGAUGGUUGGGGCGCAGCAGCCUAGGGUUCUAGAAUUGGGGGAUUUUUGGGGGAAAAAUCGGGAGCAAUUUUGGGGAGAAAUUUGGGGGGAAUUUCGGCUAAGUGUUGGGAGUAAUUGGGAUGUAAGAGACGAUCUUUUGCGGUGUUUUUAACCUAUCGCCACUAAUGCUGUUAAUGUGGCAGAUAAAACGACACCGUUUAUUUAAAACCGGAAAGAAAUUUUGCGGCGUUUUCCACAUAGCACCGCUAAAUCCAACCUUUAGUGGCGUUUCGACACUUGCGCCGCAAAAGCCAUUCAAUUCUCAAACAAAACUACAUCGUUUUCACCAAAUCUUUAAUAACUUGUUGCGGCAGUUUUGCUAAGAACGCCGCGAAAACUCACAUCUUUUAUUUAUUUAUUUAUUUAUUACCUGUAUCUUUUAUUAACUGUAUCUUUUAAUUACUAAGUAUAAUUAAAGUUUAGCAAUCCUUUUGACAAUGAUAAUACAAUAAUAAUAAAAAUUUAUUAAUUAUUAAAACAAUUGUACACUACUAAAAGUUUACUUUUAUAUUCGUAAUUAACUUUUAAUAUUUUAGACUAAAUUGUUAUAAUUUUUUCUUUUGCUUUCUAGUUCUUAUUUAUUAUUAUACAAAUACAUAACGAAUUAAUCAAGUAUUAUAUUUCAUUACCAAGGAAUAUAUCAAUGAAUUCAAAAUUCCUACAUUUUUCCUAUAUAACACAUUUUAAUAAUAUAAAAGUAUUAAUUAAUUAAUUGUAUCAUUUAACAAGUCUCAAUUAAACCUUAAACCCUAAUUUAACCAUUCAAUAUACAUGCAUAUAUAAAGUUAUCUAUACAGUAUUACGACGUCGUUUUUUUCCUAUCUAACCCAGUUGCGGCGUUUAUACAUAAGCACCACAAAAUAUACAGUCAAUUGCGGUCGUUUCGACAUCAGUUAAAUUAAACUCCUGGCAUUUUCAACCCUAAACGCCACAACUAAAAUACGUAAAACGGCACCGUUUAUAUAUAAAACUUAAACUAUUUGCGGCGUUUUAGGGAAAGCGCCACUAAAGACAAUGCCAAACUACGCAGUUUCUUAACUCAUAAUACACUAUUGCGGCAUUUACAAAAAGCGCCACUAAAUGGAAACAACAAAACGGCGAUGUUUUGCUAACAUUUCAAUAAAAUUAACCGAUAUUUCAAUGAUUUCGUUUAAAUUAGAGAGAAAAUUUUAACUAAUAAUUACACAUUUUAAAAAGAAAAUACAUCAGUAUAUUUUUAUAUUGAAUAAAUAUAACUAUUUAUGUAUGCAAUAUGAAUAAAAUUUUAUUUUAAUUAUAUCAAUAAUUAUGUUACUAUUUUACAAGAUUAUCUGGAUCACACACGAUAAAAGUUAAUGUAUAAAAUAGUUGAACAAUAAAACAUUGUUCGUGUCUGCUUUUGGGAUUUAACCCAUUUUGAUAUAUUUUUUAAAAUAUUAAUUUAUAUUUACAUUAUUUUCAUUUAUAUUAAUCUAGAAUAUCUAUAAUUAAACACAAAAGCCCCAACCUGAAACCCUAAAAUCAUCAACCAUGUUAUUUAUCCGUAACCAUCAAACCCCAAACUAUAAACCACUAUACUGUAAGCCUUAAUUAAUUAAUCGUAAACCCUAAACCUCAAACUAUAUAAACCUUUACCCUAAACCACAAACCCCAAAUCAUAAAACUUAAACCCUAAACCCGUCAAUUAACCAUAAACCACCAAACCACAAAAUCCAAUCCACAAUAUAUCGUACGCAUGAACCGUAAAUCUUAAACCCUAAAUUAACCAUAAAAAUUAAACUCGUAAACCACAAACAACAACCACCAAAUCAUAAACUCUAAACCCUAAACUUGGCCACCCCUAAAGUCUAAACCGUAAGUCAUAAACCAUAAUCCUAAACCAUAUCUUUGAAAAUUCGGGUGCCCAAUGUGUUAGUUUAGUACAGAACAUAUAUUUUAUAUUAUUUAAUUAUUUAAUAUAGGUGUGCUACAACGUGGCAUGGAUCCCAGUAAAAUUAAAAUGUUAUUCUUUAAUUAGUUUUCAAAUAGUAGUAGAUAUAUAUCUUUAAACCUUAAACAUCAAACCUUCAAUCCCUACCCCCAAAAUAGAAAAUAGUAUAUAUACCAAAAACCCUAAAACUCUGUAGCAAAAAUAAUGGAAAAAUAAAUCCUAAAAUAAUGGAAAAAUAAAUUAAGUUUCUUGUGGCGUUUUUAAUCUAAAGCGCCACUAAAAAUUACUCUAUAGCGGCGUUUCCAAAUAAGCGCCGCUAAUUAAUCUAUACAUGAAGCCGUAACGAUGCGUUUUGGACAAAUUUUUUGCGGCGCUUAAGCAAAAGCGCCACUAAAAGCUGAUAUCUAGCGGCGUUUAUGGGUAAGCGCCACUAAAGGCACUAUAGCUCAAGACGAAACGUUGUGUUUCGCUUUCAAACUUUCCGGCGUUUUUCAGUUACACACCGCUAAUAUCAGGCUAUAGCGGCGUUUAUCACAAGCGCCACAAUUGGCUCUAUGCCUCAUUGCCAGACGCUGCGUUUUGGUUCAAAUAUUUUGUGGUGCUUGUUCUAUAGCGCCGCUAAUGAUGUGCUUCAGCGGCGUUUAUACAAAAGCGCCACUAAUUCUACCAUAACUCAAUAUUGUACGUUGCGUUUUGUUUAACAUUUUUUGCGGCACAUACAAAAAAACGCCGCUAAUUGCACUCUAUAAUGGCAUUUUCAUAAUGCGCCGCUACUGCCACUAUUCCUGAAUAUUGAACGAUGCGUUUUGUCAGCUUUCUUACGGCGUUUUUGUUUAAAAACGCCACUGAUGGUGCUCUUUUUGCGGCGUUUUGAUAGAAUCGCCGCUAUUGCUGGAUCUUUACCUGCGUUUUGUGAUUAACGCCGCGAAUGCCUGAUUUUUAGCGGCGUUUAAUCUACAAACGCCACAAAAAGCCGCUAAAUCCCGCUUUUGGUGUAGUGUUCUCAAAUCUCUUCUCCUCUGCUUGAUACUCCAUUUCAUAAGCACGAGCCUUCAUCAACUUAUUCAUGAUGUUUUGCACCAUUGCCUCCAUAGUUGUGAUGACUUUUAGCUCAAGUAUCUCUGGGUUACUUACUAUUUUAUGGUAAACUUCAUCUAGUGAGUUCAUAAUGAUCCUUUGAACAUCUGCAUGACUACAUAAAAAAAAUUGUUAUCAGUAUAAGGGUGCUUUUGAAAUGUCAGUGAGCACUUGAGUUCAUAAAUAUUGUAUACCCCUGGACAGUUGACAGCUUCAUAUCGUCUUGAUUUGCUCUGACAUCACCGCUGCCUUCAGUCAGAUCAUUGUAUAUCUUGUCGUCUAGAAAACAAAGUUAUUAAGUAGGAAACAUAAAGGAUAUUAAUAUUUACAAUUAACAAGUAAAAAGCUGAGGAUUUUAUAAGAUCAUUUAUCAACUUGCAGCAAUUACCUGACAGAAGAAAGUUUUCAAUAUCAAACAACGGCAGUGACAGAAGCUCCUGUAGAGAAAGAGAAUCAGAUCUGAUCCAAAAAUAAGCAAUUUGAAUUUAAAAAAUAUAUACAGGCCAAUACUUACUGGAUCAACAUUAAGCCCCUUUUCUAGUGAGUCUACUUCAUGAUAACCCUGCAAAUAAGGAGAGAAGUACACAACAUUAAGCCCCUUUUCCUACUCAGGACUUUGGUGUGUGUUUGACUAAUAUUUCUAUGAUUGCGUUUAUCUGUAUUUGAUUCCAAUUCAUUGAAAUCAUCCAUGUAUUCCUUGAAUGAACGUACAAUCUAAGACCCAUAAGAAAAAGGACAUAAAAGGAUCAUAAGACAUAAAAAUCCGAAUAUUUAAACUACAAAUAUUUCUGUCUGAUAACUAAUGUUCAGGUAGAAUAAUCUGAGUUCAACAAUUGCUUACAAAGAAAGUAACAAACAUUUCUGGCCAAUAUAUAUAUAUAUAUAUAUGUAACCCAGAGAAUUAAUAAAAAGAAGUGAUAUUUUUGGUUGUGUCACUUUAUAGUUUGCANNNNNNNNNNNNNNNNNNNNNNNNNNNNNNNNNNNNNNNNNNNNNNNNNNNNNNNNNNNNNNNNNNNNNNNNNNNNNNNNNNNNNNNNNNNNNNNNNNNNUGACAAGUUGUACUUAUAUGACAGUAGGAAUAGCUGAGAAGGGUUAAAAUUUUCAUUGGUUAAAAGAGAAUCUAUUAUUACAACAGAGAAUUAAACUUGAUUUUUGCAUCAUUUAUUGAAAGGAUUGAAUAGAAAACUAGUCGACAAUACAUGAUUGCCUAUUCAAGUCAUAAUUUGCUCAACAAAAAUCAAAAUUCGGUUCUAAGUGAAAAAAAAGAACAGAACAGAACAUGAGAGCCAAAAGACAAGUUAUUCUGUGUACACCUCCAGAAGACUGUGAUAUAGACGCUUUUAUUGCAAUAGGAGUUUUAGUUUUAUUUAUUUAUUAUAUCAGGUUUUAUUAAGAGUUUUAAUUUUACUUAUUUUUUCUAUUAUAUUAGGUUUUUAUUUUCAAGUUAAGAAUUCUACUAGGAUUCUUUCCUUCGUUAUUAACAGACUAUAAAAUGCUGCCAAUAUGAAAUAAAGAAAUAAGCAAUUAUUCUAUCAAAAAGAAACGAUAUUAUAAGAGGGGGUUCAGUUAAGGAUGAAUCUGUCUUUUGAGUAAUCAUAGGUCGAUGUAAGAAUUCUUUCUCGUCUAGACCUGUGACUAGAUUGCAAAGGGAGGGGGACAAACAACAAAACCAACGGGGAACAACGGCAAAAUAGGUUCUUCUGCACCAUUUAUUAAGAGACUGACACAGACAGAAAUGGCGGAAAGAAUGGCUAAGGGGUUGUGUUAUAAUUGUGAGGAGUCCUAUUCCAUGGGACACAAAUGUAAAAGGUUAUUUUGGAUAGAAGUACCAAAUGUUGAAGGCAAGCAAGAUGAUGAUGAGGUAGAUGAUUUUGGAUAAGUUCUGAAGUUUAUUCUGAAUUUGAGCUUGAGGACAAGCUCAACUCCAAGGAGGGGAGUAAUGAUAUGGACGCUUUUAUUACAAUAGGAGUUUUAGUUUUAUUUAUUUAUUAUAUCAGGUUUUACUAAGAGUUUUAGUUUUACUUAUUUUUUCUACUAUAUUAGAUUUUUAUUUUCUUCAUACACUCUAAUUUAGGAUUUCUAUUUGGACUCUUUCCUUUGUUAUUAACUGUCAAUAAAAGGUUGCCAAUUGAAAUAAAGAGAUAAGCAGUUAUUCUAUAAAAAAGAAACGUUAUUUUUGAGUAACCAUUGGUCGAGGCAAGAAUUCUUUCUCAACUAGACCUGUGACUAGAUCCUACGCCAAGGCGCAUAAGAGACAUUUUCUAAAUAAACUUACCACAUCAACCCUAAAAAUUUAAUAAUGCAAGAACAAAUUACCAAGAAAGAAAAGUCAUGCCGCUACUACUAAGUUACAGAGUCAUGUUUUCUACAAUAAUUUUCAUGAUAAAAGUAAAAUCUAAAGCUCCAUUGAUUAAAAUACUAAUGACAAAUUGGGUGCUUCUACUCAAAAUGUUUACCUGUAGAUUGAUGUGAAUCUUCGCACCUCUGGUACAAUCAGGGGUUAGAGGAAAAUGGAACAUAAACUGUUCAUCUUCCAUUUGCACAAGAUCUUGAAUACUAACAGGAUUUGUAAGCUUUUGGUUCUUAAUAUCUUGUAGCAUUACUAAAACAGAAGCCAAAACUUUGUUUACUAUUUUUUCCACUAUGCUAAAGAACUUAACCUCUGAGAUUAAUUCCUCUGUUUGGUCCACAAUAGCCUCUCCCUGCAAUGCUUUUACUGAAAUAUAAAGAAAGCAGAUAACAAAUUUUAAUUUAAAUGAUUAAAACAAAUCAAGAUUAAUAUAUUUAUAUAUGUAAAAAAGAGUUAUUAAAACAUGCCUAGGAUGUCUGUCUCUGGUAUUCCUUAAGCAGUCUCCAGAACAUCAACAACAAAUGGCAUUAAUCAACAUAAAAAUCGUACCUAUGAGUGAGAUUACGUGAGGAAGGUCCUUGCAAAUCUCAUCAGCACACUCUAUGUUCCGGACUGGAUUUGUUGACUGGUUCAAAAAUGAAUCAAGCUCUUGAAAUGCAUUUUCGAUGCUAAGACUGGAACUGGCAUUAUCGACAAUCCUGGGCUGCAUCAAAUUUUUCAAUCGUUGCAGUAAGAGUUGAGGGUCACGAAGCCGAUUCAUCCCUUCCACUACUAUCUCUUUCUUUUCUUCCCAUUUCCUCUACAUUCAAAAAAGUUACUAAAAGCAAUUAGAAACAUAAAUGAACUUGCACCCUCAGUUUUUUAGCUCAAUAUUCUUGAGUAAAAACAAAAGCACGAUAAUCUGAUACUUGUAGCAAAAAGUUGAACACACUCCUGGUAUUUGGAAAAAAAGAGUCAGAAAUUGCAGGAUUGACAUGUUACGUUGUAGUGGGAGUCGGAUUGGCAUGGAUUAGUUUGCUCUUUUUUCUUUCUUUUUUUUCAAAAUACAAAUUAUAAAAAGAGAGGAAAAGUCUCACAGCAGCUUGAUAUCUGUCAUCACCAUCCAAUAGCAUACGCAUCAAUUCUCCCACCAGCUCGUUACAGUCCUGCAUAUAUAUGGAGAGUAACUAUUAUUAAACAAACCCUAAACGAUAAAGAAAAUAGCUUAAUUGCAAGAAAGGAAAGAAAAUGAAUAGGUACCUUGAUUCUUUUACGACUGCGCUUAUCUUUAUCUGAUUCCAAUUCUAUGAAAUUCCCCAUAUAUUCCUUGAACGACGUACAAUCUGAGAAUCAAGCAAAAUGAUAUAAAAAUAUCUUACAAUAUUCUGUAAGUUCAAAUUUUCCUUUAAAAGCAAAAUAUAUUUCUAAAAAAAGCAAAGUCAAACUCGAUUCUAUCCAGUAGACCAGAGAAAAAUAUAAACCAAACCAGCAAAGAGCGAAGAGAAAUGGAGCUUAACAUUGCUUACGAUUGCAGAGUAGAGACUUCUUAUGCCGUCGCAGAAAUCUUUUAUCAUUUUUUCCUCAAGACUUUUAUUUCUGAUGCAUUCGCACGAUCGUGCGAAUUUCGCUUUUCUGAAUUAUUCGAAAAAAUAUUAAAAAGAAAUUGAUUAAAUCCCAAAUUUUGAAAAAGUAGUCUAUUUUCCAUUUGUGUGUUCACAAUAAUCUACAUUUACUGUUGAAGUUAUCAAUAAUUCUCGUUUCUCCCGUUUGAGAAAAAUUAAGUUGAUACGUUUGCAGGGGUAUUGCCAAGGGUGUGUUAGCAAAUGUCUGUUCCUUUAAAGAAAAAAAAUUAAAUUACUCAACUCUCGAUAAUAAUAAAAAAUUCACUAAACUAUAAAAAGUUACAUUUUAAUCACUAAUGUUUUUUUAAUGAAAAAAUAAUAAAUAGAAAUUCAAGUAUCAACUAUUGAAAGACUCUAAAGGUUUUUGUCUCGUUAGAUAGCCGUAACCACCGAAUUAAGAGGUGCUUCAAAUAUCUGAAGGGAGGUCUGCCAAGAGAGACUAAUCUUUGCCAAUUGAUUUGCAAUUAAAUUACACUCCCUAGGAACAUACUUAAUUUUCCAUUGAUCUUCAAAACGUAAAAUACAUUUAACUCUUCUAAGCAAGGUAAUACCGGAGUCCACCGACUCCUCCAUAGACAAGGCACUAACCACCUCAAGGUUAUCUGUCUAAAUCUUGACUUUCUUGUAGCCCUUAUUUAAUAAAAUGAGAAUUCUGUCAAGAAUACCCCAAAGUUCUACCUCCAAAGGUGAACAUCUACCCAAAUAAUGAUUAAAGCCCAAAAUCCAAUUGUCAACCUAAUCACGAACCACCCACCCACGGAUGCAUUUUCGAAAGCUCUAGCCACUCCUCCAUCAAAAAAUAAAUAAACCCAAUUGCCUUUAUAAUGGGAAUGAAUUUCCGAAUUUGGUGAAUUAGGCUUGGCCUCAUUUAGAAAAGGUUCAAAUUGUUUGGCCCAAUUGAGAGAGACUUUUACAAUUUCAUAAGUCGUCCAGUUAAUGUUUUGGAAGAUGAAAAGAUUCAUGUUCUUCCAAAUUCUCCAAGCAAUUAAUCCAAAUAAGCUUGACCAAGUAAUUUCCUUAUCCUGCAUCUUAAAAUGGCAACAAAGGUUAGUGGAAAACCAACUUUGAAGGGAAUCAAAAAAAAAAAACCUGGAUUGCAUCUUAGGAAGGACUACAAGCUUCCAUGCUUCCUUAGCCGUCAAACAGUCUUGGAGUACAUGCAUAAUGUCCUUAGUAUUAUGACCACAUAAAGAGCACGCAGUGUUUUGCUCAAUUCCUCUCUUAACGCUCUCUAAAUUAGUAAGAAGUCUAUGUUUGAACACAAACCAAAGAAAAAGAUGAACUCUCUGUGGGCUUUGAUAUUUCCAAAUAGACUUUCAACUAUCAUCUUUAGGACUCCAAGAAUCUUCUUUUAAAGCCCAGUAAGCAUUACGAACAGAAAAAGACUCUCAAUCAGAUCGAGCCAAAUGAUCCCAUCCUCUCCACCAAUACAGUGAGAAGGGGGGAUACUUACUAUACACUUUAUCACGUCAUUAGGUAGCCAAAUACGAAGCAAAUUAACUUUCCAAGAACCAUCAAGAAGAACCCAAUCCCUCAAAGUGCUCUCCAAACCUAUGCUUGCAUGAGCUAGAACAUAAGAAAAAAAGAGGACCAACUUCUAGGAUCCAAGAAUCUUUCCAACAACGAAUUAGAGCCAUCACCUACAGACCACAUAAGAUUCUCACAAAAAAAUGGGUCACACCUUAGAAAGGGAACUCCAAAGAUGAGAGCAUUGAUUUUUGUGGAUAGAAUUUGGAAGCUGAUUCUUCCACCCAUAUUUCGAACAAAGGACACGAACUCAUAAAGCACCCUUUAUAAAGACUAGAUUGAACCCAAUCUUCAUAAGUAAGGAAUUAUUUUGGUCUUGGAGGUGCCGAAACCCGAGGCCCCCUCAAGACUUAGGUUGACAAAUGGACUCCCAACCUUCUAAAGUUGUUUUUGGAUGCCCAGCAGAACCACCCUAAAUGAACUAUCUUGCUAUCCUCUCUAUCUCAUCACACACCUUUCGAGAUUAACAAGGACUGCAUAAAGUAGUUUGAAAUAGCUAAGAGAACUGACUGGGCAAGAAUGAUAACUGAUUGGGCAAGAGUGACAUGUCCCGCAAAGGAGAGUUUCCUAACAUCCCAAUUUUGAGUUAUAGUGACUUGGUACAUUAACCCAAAAGAUAUUAUCUAAUUUGACCUUGACCUCUAGUUAAAAUAUUCAAUUUCAUCCUUUCGCAACCUUUUUUAACGAUAAUUCUAAAAAAAUUAUUUAAAUUUUCAAAAAAUUAUUUAUUUUCUAAAUAUAAAUAUUCACUAAAUUAUAUUUAUCUUUUACGGGUUUUUUAUGCAAAGGUUAAUGUUGUAGUAGCUAGGGAUGUUCAUAGUUCAGUUAAAACCGAAUCAAUCGUUUUAACCAGUCUAAUUCGAUUAAUCAACCAAUGGUCGAAUUUAGUUCAAUCGAAAGUCAGUUAAUGAUUUUUUAAAAUUUCAGUUAUCAGUUAAUUCAAUUCAAAAUCAAAUAAUUAAUCGAAAUAAAUAAUAUAUAUUAUAUAUAAUUAUUAACUUUAAAGAUUUAUGUAAUGUUUUUACAGUUUUAUUUAUUACUUUCAACCCCAUUUAAAAGCUUUUGAACUAUUAAAAGAAAUGACCAUUAGCACUAUAUUCUUAUUAUUUUUUAUACUUAUUUUAAUCAAAAGAUAAAAAAUAUAUAUUUCAAUUAACCGACCAAAUUAACCAAAAUUUUUCAAUUCGAUUAAUGUACUUGAAAAAACUUAAAUUCAGUUCAUGGUUAAAACUUUUUACAUUUCAAGUAAUUCGGUUCAAAUAUUAAUCGAACCAACCGUUUGAACAAUGCAAUCGAUACACUUAUUGAAUGCUUUUAACGGCACCGAUUAAAUUAUCCAACGAAUUCUACAAGAAUAAAUUUAGAAUUGAAUUGGAGUUUGUUCGUAUAUGAAAUACGCACAAAGUCCAUGUAAACCAUUCUUGGCAAAGCCAAUCCUUGAAUAUCCUCUUGUAGCACUUGAGCAGGUCCUGCUGGCGGCACACUAAAAAUUUGCAUGCCAACAUUCUGGUUUGAAGAAAGACAGAGCAUCAGCUAGCCGAUUCGCUUCCCUAUGCACAUUCUGAAUUGAAGUCAGCAAAGCCAAACCAUUCUUCCAAGUUGUAAAAACUCCUG